GGCACUCGUCGGCCUUUAGGGUCUUUCAAUAUCAGACUUUGAUUAGGCACUAGAAGAGGUCAUUCCUGAAGACAUUUUAUCAGAGCUUCCUGAGACUGACAUUCCAACCAUCUGUUCAGAGGUCCUAGAUGCUGGACUUUCGCUGCAUGAUUCUGCCGGGCAAGAGGUAACCCGGGUGGUGUCUCGUGCAUCGUCGACCUUGGAGGGCAGUCUUCUAUGUAAAAGCGCUGAUCCGAGUCAUCCAACUCCUAUGGAGGUGGUUGAGGGGCCUUCAACCUUAGAGGUGGCUGCUGUAGAGGAUCCAGCCCUCGAGGGUGGCGCUGGUGGUGACCUAGCCCCCGAGGGUGUUGUUGGUAACAACCCAGCCCCCGAGGGUGGCGCUGGUAGCAAUCUAGCCCCCGAGGUUGUUGGAGCAUGCUCUCUCUCUCUACUCCUUCCAUGGACGUCCACAUUGAAUCGCCCUUUGCCCGGUCCGAGGAGGCUGCGGUGACACACGUUUCUACGGCUCUUGCUGGUCCAGUCGCUUUAGAGGUCAGUGAGCCAGACACCAGGAGCCUGCUGCCUGCUGGUGGGGCUGAAGUUACCCUGAAUCGUGCUCUUGAGAUUGUUCCUGCUGAUCUUCCCUCAUCAAGCCAUGCACUGUCUCUUCCUGCGUUGGGUCUUCCACUAUUCCUUUCCAAUCUUCAGGUGAGUCAACCUUUUGCUCUUUAUUGUUCAUACUGACGAUUUAUAUUUUUUGCUUAUAUGUCCAUGACCAUAGGAUUUUGUUGACGGUGUAUCCUCCCAAUUGAGAUCUUGCAGUGCUACUAUUCUCGAUCAAGCUUUGUCUCUGAUGCAGUGGAACCCUCUGCUGCUCUAGAAACAGAUAGAUGAUUUGAAGGCAUCGAAUGCUGGUUAGUGAACUCACGGUCUCUCUAGUUGCUCUAAUUGCUUAGCUUAUCUUAAAUGUCGCGUUCUCUUUCAACUGCUUUAUCAGACCUAGCUCGGUGGUGCUCUGACUUUGAGGAAAAAUACUCUCAGAGUCAGACCAACUUAGCCUAGACUUCUGCCUUUCUGGAUAGUGCAUGUUCCCUUAAUUCUUCUCUAAAUGCAUAGCUUGAUUCCGAGAGGAUGGCACAUGAGGUAAACUUCCUUGACUGACCUUGCUUUUCUACCCUUGCUUCAAUGCUGAAUAUUGUUCUCUGCUUGCAAGAAGAAAAACAAACACUUGUUGCUUCCCGUGACAAUCUGGACAGGCUAUACCGUGACGCUAGUAACUCCUUGACCAUUCUGGAGAGGAGUCACCGCUUCACCAUGUCUGACUUAGACCAUCAUCGCUACGAGCUGUAGGCAUCUCAGGAUGAAGUUUCUCGGCUUGGCUAGUUGUUGUCUACCAAGGACUCCACCAUCAGGGAACUGCGCGCCUCCAAGAAACUUGUUGCGUAGGAGCUGGAGGCUGCUCAACUUGCUAUUAAGAGCUUGGAGAAUAACUGUGUCAUCCUGAAGGCCUAGCGCGAUAGGGCUAUGGACAAAGUCGUUCGCGCUAGGCGGAUCCUGAUGAGGAGACCCGGCGUCGUGGUGCCCGAUGAUAUUGUUGCUAAUGUCAAGGCCACGCCUGAUGCCGCAAGCCGUCCCUCCUCUUCUGUUGCCCCUGCGAAGGAUACUGCCUGUAAAGAUAUUUCAGCUUAGUGAUUUCCUGUAAAACACUUAUUUAUCGAGUUAGCAUCUCUUUAGAGAAAAGAUGUGACAUGAAUUCUGCAUGCGCACGACAGUUAUGUUAGAACUUGAUUAUUCCAUGGGCAGGGUGCUGAAAAACACCCCUAGCCCUUGUAAGCGAAAUAUUUGUUUUUUCGAAGUACUUUUAAUUUGAGCUGGUUAUUCUGCUACCAGGGUACAAUGGUCACCCUAAAUCAUGUGAAUGUAAGUAUGCUGCAUCAACUUAAGGCGUUUCCGACUUAAGUCAUUUGGUUUGAUAGUUGGGCAUAGUGAUCACCCUCAAUUAAGUAAGCGUGAGCAUGUCGCACCGACUUAAGCCGUCUUCGACUUAAGCCAAUUGCUCUAUUAGCACGGUAUAGUGGUCACCCUAAGUCAAGUAAGCGUGAGCAUGUCGCACCGACUUAAGCCGAUUGCUCCGUUAGUAGGGCAUAGUGGUCACCCUAAGUCAAGUAAGUGUGAGCAUGUCGCACCGACUUAAGCCGAUUGCUCCGUUAGCAGGGUAUAGUGGUCACCCUAAGUCAAGUAAGCGUGAGCAUGUCGCACCGACUUAACCCGUCUCUGACUUAAGUUGAUUGCUCCGUUAGCAGGGUAUAGUGGUCAACCUAAGUCAAGUCAUGCCGAUUUCAAGUCAAGCCCAAUCGAAGUCAGUUGUAAGUCAAGAGUCUGAAUGCCUUUGGAAAAUGAAAGCUUUAUUGAUGAUGAAAUCUUCGGGUUAUAGAGUACAAUAUUCCUUAAAGAGUUUUUUGAGGCAUUGUUAAGGGUAAAACUUUCUGAGCUGUUCUAUGUUCCACGAGUUCCCCACUUCUGUGUCGUCCAUCUGAGUAAGCCGAUAUGAUCCCGACCGCGUGACCUCUGAUACGAUGAACGGUCCUUCCCAUGAUGGUGACAGCUUGUGUCAUCCUUCCCCCGUUAGAAUUCGGUGAAGGACCAAGUCUCCCACUGCAAAGGAUCGGUGCUGCAUAGCUUUGUCAUGGUAGUGCCUCAAAGUCUGCUGGUACCUGGCUAACUGAAUUACUGUGUUCAAUCAUUCUUCCUCCAGCACAUCAAUGUCUUCUAGCCUAGUUGCUUCUGCCUCAGCUAUGUUUUCGAAAGUCAACCUCGGCCCCCCGAAGAUUAGAUCAGUAGGCUGCACUGCUUCUGACCCAUAAACCAUGAAGAACGGGGUAUUUCCAUGCAAAGCUCGACUGGGUUGAGUUUGCAGGCUCCAGACCACGUAUGGCAGUUCUCUGAUCCAUUUUCCUGCAAGCUUUUCACUUUUGUCAAAUACCUUUUUUCUGAGUGCUUCUAGUAUCAUUCUGUUGGCUCUUUCCACCUGACCAUUGGCUCAUGGGUGUGCCACUGAUGCGUACUUGAUCUGGAUACUCCUUUGCUCACAGAAAUCAAAGAAUUCAGAGCUGGUGAAAUUGGAUCCCAGGUCAGUGAUGAUGCUAUUCGGUAUCCCAAACCUGAAUAUUAUGUCCUAGAUAAACUCCAUUGCUUUAGCUGAAGUCAAAGAGGCAAUUGGCUUGUACUCUAUCUAUUUUGUGAAUUUGUCAAUGACAACCAGUAUAUGAGUAUAGCCUCCCUGAGCUUUCUUGAAAGGUCCAAUCAUGUCCAGCCCCCAUCAUGCAAAUGACCAUGUCACAAGAAUGGUCUGCAGCUGCUACGCGGGCAAGUGUUGUUGCUUCGACAGGAAUUGACAUGCCUCACACUUCUGGACUAACUCGGCAGCAUCGCUCUUUGCAGUUGGACAAUAGAAACCAGAUCUGAAAGCCUUCCUGACCAGAGUCCUUGAUGCAGCAUGUACCCACACUGCCCGGCAUGGAUUUCAUCCAACAAUUGUUUCCCAGUAGCCGAGUGAAUGCAUUUCAAGAGGACUCCUCCUGCACGUCUUCUGUACAGUAAACCCCCUAUAAUGGUGUAGUGGGCCGACUGUCUCGCGAUGUGUUUUGCUGCAGCCUUGUCAUCCAGCUCUUCUUCAUUUUUUAUGUACCUGAUGAUAGGCUCUCUCCAGUCGUUGGUAUCUGCCUCUGGCUGACUCAAGGUGUUGCACUCCUCCGCCUGAUCCGUGAGGAUGCUCGGCUGUGAAAUUUCUUGGAUGAAAAUCCCAGGUGGAGCAUGGGCCCGACUGGAUCCAUCUUUGACAACGCAUCCGUUGCUGCGUUGCGGUCUCUUUCCACGUGAUGGAACUCCAAUCCCUCGAAUUUGUCUUCCAGUUUUCGCACGGCUGCACAGUACUUGCCCAUUGAAUCAGUCGAGCAGUCCUAGUCCUUGUUUAUCUGACUUAUGACCACCAGCGAGUCACCAUAUACCAUCAGUUUCUUGAUGCCGAGUGAUACGACAAUGCUUAGUCCGUGAAUUAGUGCUUCAUACUCUGCCACAUUAUUUGAUGCUAGAAACAGCAGCUGGAGCGCAUACUUGAGUUGUUCACCUCCAGGAGCAGUAAAAAGAAUCCCUGCACCCGCUCCUUGCAGCUUCAGCGAGCCAUCAAAGUACAUUCUUCAUACCUCAGUGACUUCUGGGCUAUCCGGAACUUGUGUUCAGUCCAUUUUGAUACGAAGUCGACUAGCGCCCGAGUCUUAAUUGCCGUGCGGGGCCAAAACUCUAUGUCGUGAGCUCCCAGCUCGCAUGCCCAUUUGGCUAUCCUUCCAAUAGCUUCUUUGUUAUGGAGAAUGUCUCCUAUUGGAAAUCAUGUGACUACUAUGACUUUAUGGUCGUCAAAGUAGUGUCGGAGCUUGCGAGCGGUUAGAAGUACCGCGCACAAUAGCUUCUGGACUUGAGGUUACCUUAUCUUUAAGGGCCCAAGGACUUCGCUGAUGAAGUAAACUAGAUGCUGCACCGGGUAUGCAUGUCCUUCCUCUGCCCGCUUUGUGACACCCCAGUGUCACCUAGGGUUUCUCUCAAGUGCUAACCCAAGAACCAUCAUCUUAUGUGAACCAAAAUUAAGCAUGAACAUUAAGUUGAUUUAAGAAUAAAGAACCCACUAAGCUUAUACUUAAAAGUAUCAUGAUCAAAACAAAUGGGUUUUUCAAAAAAAAAGGACAAAAUGUGCAACCCCAACAAAAACCCUAAUUGAGCCCUAUAAGCAAAAUUCAAGAAAAUGGGGAAAAGAGUAUGAAAAAUUUAGAAUCAUGGCUUGGGCUAAUUACAAACAUUAAAGUAUACUAAAUAAGCAACAACAAAGAUUAAGGAAGCUUGGCCAAAACAAAUUAAAUAAAACUCUAAACAAGCCUCUCAAAUGGGAUUUCAUUAGGUAAUUCUGAAAUUCUAAAUUCUGAAUUUCAGACCUUGAGCCAAAGAUCAAGCGUGUUCACCUUGAUCCCUAACUCAAAUCCUAAUGGCCCCGUUGACAAAAACGUGCAUAACUAACCUCUCUGUCUUGUGCCAGAAGAUGGCAUUGGUACGUGUGCCUUGGACACGUCAAACCAGAGAUCUUCUCCCUGUGUGUGGCAGUGAGACAAACAGGAUUUCUCCCCUCUCUAUCUCUUAAUCUAGUCAGCAAAACCUGCUAGCCUCCACACACAAACGACAAAGGAACCUGAGAGGAAGAGAUCUCUCAACGGGAUCAUGGCCAUAAUCUCAAAGAUUUGAGCCCAAUCCGCGCUUGAACUCGACCUCUCUUUGCGCUGCCUCGUGCUCGACGCUGUGCCAGACGCCAGAGCGCGCACUGGCGUUCGCCGCGCACGCCCCGAGCGCUUGUUAGAGCCCCGCCCACGGCCGUGCUUGCCCGCGCCUAUAAAGCCUCCCCGGGCGCGCCUCACUUCACCUCGCGCUCACCAUUGCCAGCCAGACACCCAUCCUUAGCUCCGGCGAGCUCCUUUCCGCCCGCCAUUGUCGUCAGAGCUUCGGCCACCGUAGCCAGCCCACUCCAGUCACCCCAAGUCGCGCCAGCGCUUCGGUUAGCUCCGCCAUAAGCCCGUGAAGCUUUCCAAGCCCUCGGGCCUGGCAGAACUUCACCGGAAGGCGAAGAUCACCCUCGCCGGACUUCGGUCGCCCGCCCCCGCGCGUGGACCGAGCUCUCCGGUGAGCCAUUCUUCAAUUCCUCGCGCGCACCCCUUCCUUGGUCCCUGGUGAAGCUCUCUGACCCGUUUGAUUGGUCAAUUUCGCCCUAGAUAGGCCGGACUCCUCGCCGCCGACGAGCUCCCCCGCCUGCGCACGCGGACCGGCCGACUCCGACCAUCCCCGACGGCGACCCGCACAUCGUCGUGACCCUCAGGACCUCCCCUACACCCUCGGCCACCUCACCGGAGCAAUCUCGCCGCCGGUAAGCCCCUCCGCCCUUUCUUCCGCCGCGGGUACUGUUUAAUUUGGGGAAAGGACCUCGGGUUAGGAUUAGAAGAAUCUAGGGGGUUUUCUGAGAUGUCAGUGACUCAUUUGAAUAGUAGCCCAGGGACCAGUCUGUGAGGAAAACUUAAAACACCCGCCAGGGACCCCGUUGCAAAGUAGUUUUCCCAUUUAAUCAUUUCUGUUUAACCUUUUUAAUAAACAGAGAACUUAGAAAAUUCAUAACUUGAUGAAUUCUUAAGCAAAAGUUGUCAAACUAAUUUUGCUAGAUCCUGAAUAAUAUGAGCUAUCAUUUAAAAAUAAUGAACUCUAUGCUUUCUGUCCUAAUUUUUAAAGUUUAAAAUUAAAAACAGAAACUAACCAAACCUUAUUUAAUUAAGGAAAAUUUGCUAUGUUUCUGUGCUGAACCUAAGAAAAUUUGUGGAUGUUCAAACCCCAUUUAAGCACUGUUUAAAAAUAGUGAGAACCCCAGUAUUGAACAAAUUAGUGUAGAUAUCCAUUAAAAGCCAUUUCUGUCCAAACCUUAGAAAAAUCAGAAAAACCUUAGAACUUAAUGACCAGUGGAUGAAAUUAUUUUUCCUAGUUUGCUUAAGUAACAGAGAAUCUAGGAAAAAUAAAGGGACCUCUAGUCCAGAUCAGUUUUAAAGUAAAAUGUUUUAUUUAGCAUUAUUUCAAAUAGAAAUCAAUUAUUAGAAUUACAAAACCAGACCCAAAAUUGAUAAUAAAAAUCUAGUGGACUUGUAACCAGCAAAACCCCACUGCAAAAAUAAUAAACACCCCAGCCCAUCAUUUUAAGUAGGGUAAAUAAAUAUAAUAUGAUAAUGAGUCAUAUUCCAAAUAAAUCAUGAAUAACCCAUAAUAAUACAAUAAUGAGGCAAAUAAAAUUUUGCUAGGUCAAUGAUGAGAUAGGCCACCAGAGAAAAAUGCAAACCCAUUAAAAAGAUGCAAAAUAAUACCUAUUGCUAAUAUUUUAUAAGAAAGGCCAUUUAAUCCAAUUAAUGCAUACCACCCCUUCCUUUAAGCAAAAAGAUGCCAAACUUCAGAAUGAUUGCUCUUGCGCAAAAUAGAAUCUAGGAAAAAUCAGAAAUCUGUUGUUUGAUAUUUUUCAAAUAUAGUGGUAGUAGAAAGCACCCCUUUGGCUAGAAACUUUAGAAAAGCCUAGUAAAAUAACUAAUAAGAAUUAAUGGCUAAAAUUUUGUUCCAAGUCAUGUUAUAGCAUCUAAAUGCCAGAAAAAAUAAGUCUUAGAGAAUUACCUACUAUUAAAUGAUAGUUGUAGUUCAAUUUACCCCUUCUACCCUAAAAUUUGGUAAUUUUGUCCAGAGAGAACGAUUCACUUUUUGUACCCCAAAUUUUGCGACAAAGAAUUAUACACCAGUAAUAAGCCACUGUAAUUUUUACAGAAUUUUUGGAAAUUUAUUAAGGCAACUUGUAGUUCAAACCCACCCCAAAAACUUAAAGAGAAUAAAGAAAAAGAAAGGAGAAAUAAACCUCACUCCAAUAAGUCCAACUUAAAUUCUUGGCAAAUCUCACUAAGGCUUUAAAAAGAAUUCAGUGGAACCCCAAAAAUAAACCUACCACUUACCUUAGCUAAGUUUGAUCCAAUUUACCAAGUAUACCACCCAAAAGUCUCACAUAAGUAAAGUUUAACUCUAUCUAACUCAAGUAGAUCAUACACCAUCAAAAGUUUAAAUUACUAAAGCACAUAUCAUAUCAUGCAUAUAUCUUACGCAUUGCAUUCAUUAGAUUGCAAUCUCACCGACGGAGAGUACAUGCUCAUCCCCGAGCAAGGAACUGUCCAAGAGGAGGACCAGGAGCAAGCUUCCGAGGCUGCUGUCGAGGAUCUCCCCGCAGCUCAGCUAUUGAAGGCAAGCCCCGGUUUAUAUGCAUAACCGCAUUAUUAUAUGCUACUUUACUACACUUAAUGCUUGUAGGAUUGUAAUGUGCACUUAAGUGUAGGAGUUGCUUGAAACCUCUAGUUGCAUGAACUUAGGAUUCCUUUUUGAGAUGAAUACUAGUAUGCUAGGUCGAGUAGCUGCUUGCUAAUCAGGAUCUCGGUAGAAGUCGAGUGAUUUUUCUAGCACUCGCGCGAGGUCAGGAAUUAAUUGUAUUCAUCUUGAUAAUGGGAUAUAUGUUAGUCUAUGGACUUGGAUCCAGGGAGGAUGCCUUGACCAUGAUACGGGAAAAAGGAAUUAAGGAUUAAUGUGUGGAUACCUGAGUCAAGCGUUUGAACAUACUAAGCACAUGCCGGGAAAAAUGGUAACCGGUAAACCUAGUACCUGAGUGAAGCCGGGCGCGGACUUUAUCCCUCAUGCGACCUGAGACUGGGUCUCCCAUGCUAGCUAUGGUGGGUACAAGUGCGGUCACUGCACGACGGUAGCCGGGGUCAGUGGAGCAUUGUAUGCCAAGGCGGUGAGGCCUGGACGCGAACGGGGAAUCGAUGGGGACGGUUGACGUGUGUGGGGACGGAGUGCCCUGACAUGUCGUGUGUUUAGGUUUACCUUGCAAGGUUAAAACUCGAUUCGAAUCGUCUGCUUCUCGCAGCUAAUGAGACUGCUUGACCCCUUGUACUACAUCGAGUAAGAAGUGAAAUGAGGUUACAUGAGACAAUUUGUUGAUUGAACUAAAUGCUUGUUACCAUGUAUGCUUAGAAGGAGCGAACCUAGCUAAGAUAAUUAUGUUAGAAUUUGAAAAGCUAAAAAUUAAUUUUAGAAACAGCUAGUGCUUUUGGCAAACCAACCCCUUAGCCAAACAGCUGCAUAGUCUAGAGGUAGAGGAGUAGACUCCUCACACCGGGUAAGUCUAGCUGAGUAUUAGUAUACUCAGCCUUGCUUGUGGUAUAAUUUUUGUAGGUGCAAUUCAGGAUAUGGUUGAUGGUGUGACUUGGCCUACCACCCUGCCACCGGGAUGGACGGUCGAGUGGGAUGUUGCUCCGGCAGGAGAGGAGCACGAGGAGUAGUGGGCUAGGCCUUGCCCAUUUCCUCGAUACCGACGACAUCGAUUAUCCGCUGCUUUUUAUUUUGUUAACUCUUAUUUGCUACUCAAAAACUCCGAUUUAUGUAAUAACUCAGCACUUAAUUUGAGGUUUCCUGUUUUAUUGUAUUUCUUCUGUGACUCACCUUCGAGUGAGAUUGUGGAAUUUGAUCCUGGUUAAGUGGCUCUAUCAGACUAGAUCUGAGGGACUGACGGGUUAUUCCAAUUUAAGUGUGUUACGGCCCCUGAAGCGUGACUUAGGCACUUAAGCUGGAAUAAUUCGGGCGGUUCCGCCACACGCUUGACUACCAACGCGGCGCUUACCACGUGAGUCGUGCAGGAGAUGUACAGGAGCAUAUCUUCUGCCGGCUGCCCGGGCGUUGCUCAAACGCUUGACUACCAAUCACAUUUGGGGAUGGAAAUCAAGGUUUGGUCAAAGGCUUGGGUAAAAUUGCUAUAUCUCCUGACCAUUCCAUCUCUAAUGUUUUUCUUGUAGAUUCUUUAGAUUACAACUUGUUUUCUGCUUCUCAAUUAUAUAAAAUGGGCUACAACUGUCUAUUUACUGAUAUUGGUGUUACCAUCUUUAGAAGAAGUGAUGAUUCAAUAGCUUUUAAGGGAGUGCUAGAUGGUCAGCUAUACUUAGUUGAUUUCAAUGAUAACAAUGCUGAAAUAGACACUUGCUUAAUUGAUAAGACUAACAUGGGUUGGCUCUGAUGUGAGACCCUGUUUGGUUUUGGUAAUUGAUUGACAACUUAUAUGGACUAAUAAGUGUUUAUGUUGAGAUACACGGGUGAUUAGUCCACAGGUACAAUAGUUUGAGUUAUUUAAGCCAUGGUGGUGAUGUGGCUUGGUGAUAUUGAGAUGCUCAACUAGUGUGAUAAAGGAGCUCAUUGCAUAUGAAGACAUGACAUGGUGUCAUGUGGCUAUAUGGAGAAGAUCAAGAGAUAUGGCUUGGCUUUAAUGGACCGAGUGGCUAGUGUGAAGGGCAAGUCAAAGUCUCAUGUGUGAGGGACCGCGUGGUGGUGAAGCAAGAGCAAGGACUUAGCACUGAUGGACAUAAGCAAUGGUGAAGAGCAAGCUAUGUUGAGAUUAAUGAACAAAGAAUACCAUGUGAUAACAUGGAGUGGAUCAUAUCAUUAUAGAAUUACCAAGCCAUGUGUUGAUCUGGGCUAUUGAUCAAGUGGCUUGAUGAUGAUGGUGGAGGAACUUCAUGCUAUGGACAAAUGGUAAAAGGUAUCAUGGUUGGCUACACUUAUGGAUGUCCAUUGUUCAUCAUUUGAGGAGAUGGAAUUGAAUGCUCAUGGCAAAGGUAUAACAAUAGGCUUUUGUUUUACCGGUCAAAAGGUGCUUAGAGGUUGAUAAUUGACCGAGUUAGUAGGCUAGAUAGUCGUACUAUCAAGAGGGGCCAAUUAUCUUACUUGACAUGUCUUUAGUGCCUCAUUGCUCAUAUAGUUGGUGCAUUUGCAUGAGGGCUAACAACACUUUGGUUCGUGAUAGAUAAAGUUAUUCAAAAGCGAUUUCUUGAAUGUGGGUUGAAUUGAUGUAUCGCGGACCGUCUGGGCCAGCAUGGCGGACCGUCCGCAGGUCUGUCACACCCAGUUUUGGAAGGUAAACCGAAUGCGAACCAUGUACGUGCCAGGAUCAGAACUCACGUACACAUCGAUUACAUAAUUGGACAUCAUCACACAAUGCUCGAAAUAAGUAGCGGAAAGGUACUUUAAUUACAUCAAGAUGUCCAAGACAUCCACAAAGUCUAAUACAUAUCCAUAGUGUUCAACAAUAAUAUCAAAGUGUGGAGUAACGAAACGUAGAAGAUAAGCCUACACAAGCAGCUGACUGGGGGUUUGCCACUAAAGUAAACUAGAACUCGUCGUAGUCCUGGAACUCCUCAAAGUCCUCCAUGUUACCAAAAUCACCUCCUGAGCACUGGAUAUAGUGGGGACAACCUGGGGUGGGGUGGUUUGUAAAGCAAAGGUGAGUACACAUCAACGUACUCAACAAAUGUCCCAUUUGGCAUAAAGUGGACUAGCUAUAUGUGGAGUUAAGGUUUAGUAGUUGCUUUUAAUUGGUCAAGUUUUAUUAUUAUAAGUAGAGCCAACUUUUAGUAAUAAACCCAGUUAUUACCCAGAAGUACUCCCUCCAAGAGGAAAUACCAGAGAUCCCAUUGCUAAUCAUCAUCAUAAAAGUAAUCAAAGUUCUUCUAAUCAAAGAGGAUCCCAUAGCUGCUCUUAACCGUGAGCACGACUGAUAUACCAGUUUCUAACACUCUUUAGAGGUUGCACACUUUACCCACAAGCCGUGAUUCCCAUUCUGCCCAGGGUUCUAGCCUCCCCAUUGAUCACUACCAAGGUGACCUAGCAGGGUCUCACUACGUAGCCUUUACAAAGAUUUCCCAGAGGUCGUAGUCGCCCGUUAGGUUUCUCCAGUUUGAUAAACACGGUACAUCUCCCCAAAGGAAGGGUGACUAACAAAACCAAAUCAAAGAACCUCUGCAACCAGCCUCGGCAGAGCAAGUACUAUGUCCGGACCCCAUUGACGGCCCUACGACGAAGCCAACUACUCCUCUGGUUCCUCUAAUUAAUCAGCUAAGGGCGUCUCAUUCCACCCUCAUGGUUGCACUGUUAUCCCGGAUUGUCACUCCCCAAACAGGUCCUUACGGAGAGGUACUCAGGAAACAGCCUGAGCCCCCUAAGGUAAUCACAAGAACCUCAUCAGGAUAACAUCAUCGUAUCAUAAAUAAUCACAUCAUGUUCAUUGAUUAAGUUUAAGAAAUAGCAUAAGCUAACCAUGAUUAAGCCAAAAAUGUAAACAAGGGUAAGGUAAAUAUAGACUAGUCAAUCCUUAAGUUUCAAUAAUGUAAUGUGGAAUAGUGAAUUAUAAAGUAAAGUAGGACAUGAUAGGUCUGAGGACACUUGCCUUCACCAGGUUGUUGCUCAGAGGGAUCUUUGGCAACACACUCAGGAACCACGAGCUGCUCGUUGUCUAAAUAAAGCGAUCAUACAUUCAAUACAUUUGGAAAGUACAAAUGAAUAGCACAUCAAACAUGUACAAACAUUGGGACACAACUCAAAAGAUGUAGUAUUAAAUAAAGGAGAAUGAGGUCAAGUUAUAAAAUGAACUAAUCCUAAUUUGGAGUUGAUUACUCUCUAAGUGUUUGGAACAUACCACAAAAGGUAAAGUAGUAAUUUAAACAAGAAAGAGAUUAAAUCAUAAGAUGGACUAAUCUCAUUUAGGAAUUUGAUUAUUCUUUAAGUGUUAUCCAUAAUUACAUAACCUAAUUUUAUUCAUUUCAUUGAGACCUAAAAGUUAAACCAAAAAUGAAUUCAUGUAAUGCAUGUCACUAAUCUCACAAGAUUAAAUAUAUUUUAAAUCCUAGGGCUUUCAAGUUAUUUAUUUCAUUAAAUAAAUAAUUUAACAAAAACAUUAAUCUUGUAUCCUAUGUGUAAAAUUAAAGUUUACAGACUAUAGCUGAUCAUAAUUUAUUUGAACAAAGAAUAAUUUUAUGAACAUUCUGCAAUUUGAACCACUAAAUUUGGAGUUCAUAUGGAAAAGAUAUGAAAUAAACAAGUUUUGAAAUUAAAAUAUGAAAUUAGGGCUAAAUAUGUGAUUAAACAAAAGCGCGGGGGGCUAUUUAAAAUAAACCAGGGGCCUACGCGCUAAAACAGAGGACGACAGAUUGAUUUCCUAAAACCCGGGGGUCUCUUAAGUAAAACUCACACACGAAGGGGUACGAGGUAACUUCAACCGUCGGAUCAAAGAUCAACGACUAGGAUUAGAUCGCGCGGGCGCGCGCACGGACGCGACUGACAGGUGGGGACAGGGCGUCAGCGAGCCAGGGCGGGCUGACCAGCUGGGCCUAGGGGCAGGGGCGCGGGUGAGGGGGAAGAGAGAAGGGCGGUUGGAUCUAGAUCGGAGGGCUGCGAUCAGAUCCGCUCUGGUUAAAUCUAAACCGCUCGAUCUCGGACGGACGCCCGAGAUCUAACGGUUGGGGGCCGACACAAGCGCGGUGGCGCCGCUCGGUCCCGCGGCGAGAGCUCGCCGGAGACGAGGGGGCUGGCCACGGCAGGGCUCCAGAGGCUUGGGGACUAGCUCGGGCGCGUUCAGGGCGGUCUGGCGAACUCGGCCAUGGGCAUCACGCCAGCGUGGGAGCAUCAGGGGGCGCUGCACACGGUGAGGCGGCCUAACGUCGGCGUGGGGCAACUCCGGCGAACAAUCGUGCGCUAACCAAGGCAGUAACAGCCAAAUUAAGGGUGCAGACAGGUUGCUCACCUCGAGGGGAAGCGUUGGAGUCACGGGGCAACGACGGUGGCGCAGGGACGCGACGGGGCGACGGUGGCGGAGCUCCGGCUACACAGGAAUAUCUCCGGUGAGCGCGGACAGGGCGGACUGGAGGGAUUAGGGGCGAACCGAGGGGUGUUCCAGAUGGUGGGUGAUAGGGCGGAGCUUACCGGGGCAACAUACACGGCGGGGAGUUCCACGGCGACCGUAGAACGGGCGGCAGACGUCGGUGGGCGGUGGUGGGGCUCUGGUCGCGAGCGCAGAGCGAGAGAGAGGGCAAGGGGGUUCGGCUGAGGGCACAAGUGAGCGAGGGGAGGUGGGCGAGCAGGGCGCGGGGCUCAAAAGGGGCGCGGGCGCGAGGACGUCGCCGGAGAACGCAUGGACGUGGACGAGUCCAUGGCGGGGGAUCGUGGGCGAGAGGUUAGGGACGGCUGAUAGGUGGGGUCGGCGGGACACAGAAGGAAGCGAGCGCACGGGCGAGAGAAACGACACCGACAGGCCUCGCCAAUGGGGCAGCGAGAGAGAGAAAGGGGGAGAGAGGGCGCGCUAGAGUUGGCGCCGACAGGCGGGGCCCGCCUGUCAGGCACCAAGGGCGAGCGGCGCGGGGCUCGGCCGGCUUGUGCUAAAUGGGCCGAAAUGGCUUUUUCUAUUUCUAGGGAAUUUCCAAUUGCUUUUCUAUUUAUUUUCUCUAGGGUUUUCAAUUCAAAUUCAAAUCAAGUUUUAAAUUCAAACCAAAUCAAAUAUGUGCAACAAUUCAAAGAAUAUUUAAGCUCAAUAUGAUGCAACAUUUCAUGACUCAUAUGUUUUGGGCAAAAUAAAAUAAAUAAUCCUUCACUAAUUAAACUAACCCUAAUCGAAAGAGGAAGGGAGGGAGAGAAACUAGAGUGAGAUAGAGAAGAGUAACACCUGAAUUUGGAUGAUAAAUAAGAAAGAAAUUUUAUACCCCCAAAUUUAGGGUGUUACAAGGUCUAACUUGAGUGAUGGGCAGAAAUGUGAAGUUUCUGUGUUUCGCGAAGAUUUUGUACUGCAGACCGUUUGUUCCCAGGUGGCGGACCGUCCGUACUUGAAGGACCGGUGUUUGGAUAGAACUCGAGAAAGUUAUGUUUUGCUUUUUUUUGAACUGCGGACCGUCCGGGGCCUGAGUGCGGACCGUCCUCAGUACAAAUAUUUUGUAUUGUGGACUGUCCAUAGUACAAAUUUCAGCAAACGUGCAGAGUCAGCAAAACUUUGUUUUGGCUCAGUUUUAUGUAUCGCAUAUUGUCCGACCUUGAGGGGCAGACCGUCUGCAAGUCUUUUUUGAAUGUUCUGACAUUUUUAUAACCGUUUAUAGCCGUUGGGAUUCUUGUGCGGACGGUCCGGGCUUGUAUUGCAGACCGUCUGCGUGUGCGCGGAAAAGGGGCAAUUGGCCCAUAACGGCUAGUUUUGGAGAGGGGGGUAUACAUACUUGUGUUGCCCGGGUUGAAAGGUGAAAAAGAGGCCAUUUGGAACACUUGUGAGCAUAUUGGAGCCUUUCCUCUCCCUCUCUCUCACUCAUAUUGGUUUGGAUUGCAUUUUAGUGAGAUUGACAACCAUCUAGUGCAUUGCAUCAAGUUGUUGAUCUUUGAGGCACUAGGGAGAUCAUCAAGUGAGGUCGUUGGCUUGUUACUCUUGGAGGUUGCCGCCUCCUAGACGGCUUGGUGUGGUUCCCCGUGAGAUCUUCAAAGGAGAUUGUGAAGAGGUCACGGUGGUGAUUGUGAGAGGCGUUGUGCUUGCCUCACCGGAGCGGUGAAAAGCAACUCUAGUAGAAUCGAGGUUUGAGGAUUCAUUGACCAAUACGGCUCAAGAGAUCAAGUGGAGACUUGAUAGAGGAGCAGUUGGGUGCUUUGAAUCUACCUCAAUGUGGACUAGGGGUGACCGGCAAGUCAUCGACACCACGGGAAAAAAAUCAUUGUGUCAAGUGUCAUCAUCUCCCCGUUAGUUUGCAACUUUCUUCACUAGCUUGUAUUUACUUGUUCAUAUACUUAUGCUAGUGAGUAUUUGAUUCUCUUGUAUGCUCUUGUAUAUCUAGUCAUACUUGUAUUAAAAUAGUUACUCAUUUGUUAGCUUGUGUAGCUAAUCCAUUUUGCUUAGCUAGUGUGGCUAAGUAGUUGUUUCUCUCUCGUUGUGCUUGUGUAGUGCAACUAGUGAGUUUUGCUAGUAGUGCUAAAAGCUUUGUGCGCUUUGCUUACGAAAAUGUUUAGGAGCUCUUGGUGUGCUUAGAAAUAUAGUUGCACAAGUUUGUAUGACCUUGCUAACUAGAUUUGUGUGGGAGAGCUCUUUCACUAACUUGGCACCUUAGUUGCUUCAAUUAGAAUCUUUUGUCAGGUGUUUGUUAUAGUUAGAGAAGUGUAGUUGUUGGGACCAUGCUUCGUCGCCGAAGGUCCUGCAGGAAGAAACAGCUUCGGCUGAAGCUGUCUACACGUGAUGCCGAAGGGUGCCGUUCAUGAAGCUUCGGAAUUACAAACCGACUUAAAAGUAGAAUGACCUUUUAGUCCAUAAGUGUUUGAGUCGUUGUUGUAAACUUUUAUGAGGGGUAUGAUUGUAAUUGCUCACAGGCUGUGUCCUGUGCCUAUAAAUAGUGAACAGUAUUCCUUUACUGUUCGGGCAUUCCUGUAAUUGCAAUCGCAUCAUUCGGGAAUUAUUCUUUGCCAAGGCAGAGGUAUAAAUGUAUCUAAUAUUUGAAUACAUCAAGUUGAUAUAAUAUGAAAAUGAUGUUGUUCAUUUAUAAUUUACUUGUCUUUAAUGUUUCAUAUCUCGUAUUAUUUUAUACAAUUUAUUAAAGUUCAAUUACAAAAAAACAACCUUCGUAGUUGUAUCGUCUUUAACCUUCGUCCGAAGUGCAUUAAAUCCUUAAGGAAAUAAUGCUUCAGCGGACGAAGGGCAUUAACAUUUAACAUUUUUAUAUUGCCUUGUUCUUAAUUCAUAGCAUUUGAGAACGAGUCCCCAACAUUGGCGCCCACCUCCGGUGAACUCACUUCCACUUUUCUGAGCUGAUGGCUUCGUUCAAUAUUCAAGCUGGAGCUACUUCGGUUCUGAAGCUGGUACUCCCGAUAACAGGCGGUUCAUGUUCAGAACCAGCCAAUAAGAAGCAGAAGAAGGAAGCACAGAGAAGGGUACAGCAUGUCGGGGUGCAAGGACCCUUCAUCAAGUCAAGAUGGUCUCACAUUCCUAUUACCUUCUCCCAAGAGGACCUUCAACUCAAGGAUUACCCACACAAUGAUGCUAUGGUUAUCUCUUGUGUUAUCAAGGGAUUUCUGGUCCACAAUGUUUUGGUUGAUACAGGCAGUGCAGCUGAUAUCAUAUUUGCUAAGGCCUUUAGACAGAUGCAAGAGCCCGAAGAUAAAAUUCUUGAUGCCACACAUCCCCUCUGCGGCUUCGGGGGAAGGCAGAUUGUAGCACUCGACAAAAUCUCAAUGUCAGUGGCCUUCGGAUUCAUCAACAACACAAGGACUGAACAAGUUAUGUUUGAUAUCGUUGACAUGGAGUACCCUUACAAUGCAAUCAUUGGUCGUGGUACUCUUAAUGCCUUCGAAGCAAUUCUGCAUCCAGCUUAUCUUUGCAUGAAGAUACCUUCGGACCAAGGGCCCAUUGCUAUUCAUGGAAGUCAAGAAGCUGCCAGAAGGGCCGAAGGAAAUUGGACAGACUCAAAAGCAAUCCAUAAUAUAGAUGGAACUGAAGCUUGUGAGCAAUACAAGUUCAGAAGGGAAAAAGCUGCUUCGGCUGACCAACCGAAACCUAUGCUCCUAUGUGAGGAUAUAGCAGAGCAGAAGGUGCUAUUGGGAUCUCAAUUGUCCGAAGAGCAGGAGAAAACCUUGAUAAGGUUUCUGUUCAACAAUAAAGAUGUUUUUGCUUGGUUAGCUAAUGAUCUUUGUGGAGUUAACAGGGAUGUUAUUGAGCAUUCGCUCAAUGUUGACCCAUCCUUCAGGCCCAGAAAGCAGAGGCUUCGGAAAAUGUCUGAAGACAAGGCCGAAGGUGCUCGGAAUGAAGUAAAAAGACUCCUCAGUGCCGGAGUUAUUAGAGAGGUAAAAUACCCAGAAUGGUUGGCUAACACUGUUAUGGUGAAGAAGGCCAAUGGUAAAUGGAGAAUGUGUAUCGAUUUUACUGACCUCAAUAAAGCCUGUCCGAAGGACGAGUUUCCAUUGCCAAGGAUAGAUUCCUUAGUUGAUGCAGCAGCUUCAUCAGAGCUUAUGAGUUUGCUGGAUUGCUAUUCAGGCUAUCAUCAAAUAUGGAUGAAGAAGGAAGAUGAACCAAAAACCAGCUUCAUAACCCCUAGUGGGACAUAUUGCUACCUUCGGAUGCCUGAGGGGCUUAAAAUGCUGGAGGAAGUUUCAGCAGAAUGACAGCGAAGGUCCUUCACUCUCAGAUAGGAAGGAAUGUGCUAACUUAUGUUGAUGAUAUCAUUGUAAAAAGCACGAAGCAAGAUAACCACAUAGCUGAUUUGCAGGAGACCUUCGCUAAUUUUAGACAGGCUGGUCUAAAAUUGAAUCCAGAAAAAUGUGUCUUCGGAGUAAAGAAGGGGAAAUUUCUCGGUUGCCUAGUCUCAACAAAAGGAAUCGAGGCUAAUCGAAGCAAAAUCGAAGCAAUACUUCGAAUGGAACCACCAAGUACAAAAAAGGGGGCUCAAAGAUUGACAGGAAGGCUGGCGUCUCUCAACAGAUUCAUAUCUAGAUCAGCAGAGAGAAACUUACCAUUCUUCGAAGUGCUGAAGGCAGCUGAAGUCUUUCAAUGGGGACCAAUCCAGCAGAAGGCCUUCGAAGAGCUGAAGCAGUAUUUGAUAGAUCUAACAACAUUAACUCCACCUACGCCAGGGGCUCCUUUGUUAUUAUAUGUGGCAGCUUCGCACUCAUCGGUAAGUGCAGCACUUGUUCAGGAGAAGCUUGAAGGCCAAGUUAAGAGGCAGGCCCCAAUAUAUUUUGUAUCUGAGGUUCUUAGUUUAUCAAAGAAAAACUAUACAGAGUUGGAGAAGGUACCGUAUGCUGUCUUGAUGGCCUCCAGGAAGCUUCGGCACUAUUUUCAAGCUUACAACAUAAUUGUUCCUUCUUCACAACCUCUGAAGGAUAUUAUGAAGAACCGAGAAGCUACUGGAAGGAUUGGAAAAUGGGCUGCAGAGCUCAAUGAAUUUUGUAUUGAUUAUGUUCAUAGAUCUUCGAUUCAAUCCUAGGCGUUAGCAGACUUCAUUGCUGACUGGACGCCAGGGGCUCAGGAGGAAGAAACAAAUAAAGACGUCGAAGCAUGGACAGUGUUUUGCGAUGGGUCUUGGGGAACCUUCGAAGCGGGAGCGGCUGCUGUGUUGGUUUCACCUUCCAAAGUUAAAACUUGUUAUGCGGCAAGACUUGAUUUUAGUUGCACAAAUAACAUCGCCGAGUAUGAAGCUCUACUUUUGGGUCUUCGGAAACUAAAGGCAAUGGGAAUCAGAAGGGCCAUUCUUAAAACUGAUUCUCAAGUUAUUUCUGGUCAUAUUGACAAAAGUUACAAAGCAAGAGACCCGAAGCUUGAAAAGUAUCUAGAUACAGUCCGAAGGAUUGAGGCUUCCUUCGAAGGUUUCUGUGUCAAAAAUAUUCCUCGUGGAGAAAAUGAAUACGCUGAUCUAUUGGCUAAGUCGGCAGCCCAGGGGCUGCCUAUACCUUCGGAAGUAUUUUUUGAAACAAUAAAAGCACCUUCGGUCGAGCUUCUUGAAAGAGCAAUCCUUAACAUAUCCCCUGUUUAUAGUGAAGAUUGGAGAACUGAGAUCAUCUCUUUCCUUCAGGGUAAUUUUCUUUCAGACGACGAAGCUUAUAACAGGAGAAUAGAAGCAAGAGCUCGACCAUAUGUCAUAAUAGAAGGGGGGUUAUACAAGCGCGGGGUCUGUUCCCCAUUGCUCAAGUGCUUAUCCAGAUCCGAAGGUAUAGAAUUAAUGAAGGACAUACAUGCAGGUCUGUGUGGAUCUCACAUUGGAUCUAGGCCCUUGCUUGGGAAGGUUUUUUGCCAAGGGUUUUAUUGGCCAAAGGCAGCUUCGGAUGCAGCGGAUUUAGUUCAAAAGUGCGAAGGUUGUCAGAAAUGUGCAAGAGAUCAAAAACAACCUUCGUCUUUAACUCAAUUAAUACAACCCACUUGGUCGUUGCAAAGGUGGGGUCUGGAUUUGCUAGGUCCAUUACCACCAGCACAGGGGAACUUAAGAUAUGUGGUGGUGGCAGUGGAAUAUUUUUCCAAAUGGAUUGAGGCGAAGCCCUUAGCCACAAUAACUUCAUUUACUAUUCAAAAGUUUUUCUGGCAAAACAUUGUUUGUCGCUUCGGAGUGCCGAAGGCUAUCACUGUGGAUAAUGGGACACAGUUUGAUUCUGAAGCCUUCAGAGAAUUUUGUAAUCAAAUUGGCACGAAGAUCCAUUUUGCAUCAGUCCGACACCCAGAGUCAAAUGGACUUGUCGAAAGAGCCAAUGGGAUCAUAAUGACAGGAAUAAUGAAGUCAAUCUUCAAUCAGCCCAGGGGAAAGUGGCCAGAUGAGUUAAUCAAAGUGGUGUGGAGUCAUAACACAACCAUGUCAAGAUCAACAGGCUUUACACCCUUUAAACUAUUGUUUGGUGACGAAGCAAUAACCCCAGAAGAGGCCAAAACAGGAUCAAUAAGGACAGUAGCUUCGACAUAGGGCGAAAACGAAGCUGAUUGCUCUGUAGAAAAAGAUGCUAUUGAAGGGAUCAGACUUCAAGCUGUGGAAAACAUCAAUAAAUAUCAAGCUGAAACAAUAAAAUGGCGUGAUAGAAAGGUCAAGCUGAAGAACAUUGAACCAGGACACUUGGUACUUCGAAGAGUAGCUAACCCUGAAACAGUAGGCAAAUUACAGCUGAAGUGGGAAGGCCCCUUUUUGGUAGUAUCUUCGUCAAGACCCGGUUCCUACAGAUUGAAGGAUAUGGACGGCAAUGACAUUCCUAGAUCGUGGAAUGCGGAUGAGCUUCGGCGAUAUUAUGUUUAGUUCGAUGUAAUUUUUUAUAUUCUUUUUUGUGGCACCCUUUUCCUUUCCAAAGGGGGAGAAAGGUUUUUAAUGGGGCCACAACAUGUAAUUUUUCUUUUCCUUAUUUCAAUUCUAUAAGAGCGAUAUCCCCCAAAAAUGUAAAUGUAAAAGCUGAGAACGCACCUUCGAGUGCAAAGGAAAAAGAAGAGAAAACAGGGAGAAGCUCAAAAGUCGUUCCUAAUGGAAUGCAGAGCUUACAGCGAAAAAUAAACGCUGAUUCCGCCGAAAGUAAAAGGCGAAGAAGCUCCUAAGGGAGGCUUACAGCGAAAAAUAAACGCUGAUUCCGCCGAAAGUAAAAGGCGAAGAAGCUCCUAAGGGAGGCUUACAGCGAAAAAUAAACGCUGAUUCCGCCGAAAGUAAAAGGCGAAGAAGCUCCUAAGGGAGGCUUACAGCGAAAAGUCAACGCUGAUACACUGAAAAGUAAACGGUGAAGCCGAAAAGUAUACGGCAAAAAGAUUUCUAUCAUUCUUGAGGGGAUGAAGGGCCGUGCUUAUGGUUUUUGAACAUGUGUCCUAAUAUUCAUUUGCACAUUACAUGUCAUCAUGUCAUUUGCAUUCAUAAACAUCCAUUUAGACAUAUAUAGAAUCAUCAUCAUACUACACAAAAAAGUCAGGUGUUUCAGAAAAUAAGGAAAAGAUUCGAAGGAAAAAUUUUCUAUGCUUCGUUGUGUACGAAAAGAAGGGAAGGUGUUUUUCGCCUUCGGCUCAAAAGAGAAGUUUCGUCCACAGCAAAGCAGACUGAAUGCGGAUAAGGGAGACAGGAUAUAUUGCAAGGUAUGUACAAAUUUACAUGAGUUAUUCCAUAUCUAUAUUACAAGAGUUUCUCCAAGAAUUUUUGCAGGAAAGCACAUUAUAAGCAACUUUAAGCUUCAGCUAAGGCUUCGUCUUCAGUUUUGUCAAACUUCAGCAUUGUCAAUCUUCAGCUUCGUCAUCCUGUAUAUACCAAAUAGCAGAGUAAGAAAGGUACAAAUUUCAAAGGAGAAGGUAAAAGUAACAAACAUAAGUUUCUUACCGGCUUAAGAUGGCUUCGAGGUUCGUCGCCCGCCAUUUUCCGCCCGCCACUUACCCAGAUCUGGGUCAUGAAUCUAUUUCCGAUGCUUCUGGCUAAGCUUGGGAUAUCUAUCAAAUCUGAAGCUGACAAGCUGAAGUUUGGUCUGUUAACAAUGUUUCCAUGCGUGCAGCCAGCCUUCAAAAAAGCAGUAGUUGUGCCCCGAGAAGCUACCAGGGCGCAGAAGUCGGCGUGCCCACCAAUAACUUCGUCAAGGGCAUCAACUUCGCCUUCAAUAUGUUCUAAUGUUCCUGGCAGAUUUUCAGCUGAAGGUGUAAAUUUCGAAGAGCUAGCUCCGACAAAGUGAAACACGUCCUUCAGCCGCUGCACACAUCGGCUGCCGAAGCUUAAGCAUUUCUCCUGAAGUUCUGUAAAGGAUUUCUGCAAAUUUGAGUAUUUAUCCACUUCAGUUUUCAGGCUUGCUUCAAGAUAUUUCUUUUCUUGCUCGAAUUUUUCUGAUUGUUGGAGCAAUUCAUUCUUUAAUUUGUCAUUCUCAGUUUGGACUUCAGCCAAAGAGCCCUCCAUGGUCUGAAUAACAAAAUCCUUCUUUUCUAAUGCACCUUCGUGCUCUUUGACCAUGAUUUCAAGGUCUUGGAUUGUGAAGUCUUUCUUUUUUAGAUUGGCUUCGUGAUUUUCAACUUUUUCAGCCAAAUCUUGAAUGACGGCUUUGUUUUUCUCUUCUUCCAGAUCUUGUUGCAUUUUUAGAACCUUGCUCAAUAAUAUGCUCUGUCGAAACGAUCUUCGUUAGAACACGACCUAAAAGAUAAUAAUAAUAGUAAUAAAGUAACAAAAAUAUUCGUUACCUUGAAGUUAGCAUAAAGCAAGCUUCCGGCGAUGUGGUGUCGUUGAUAACGGCACAAGUCCGCUUCCAGCUUCGGCAAGCCAAUGCUUUUGGAAAGGGUUCUAACAAUUUUGGCCUCGGUGCGGUUCCGAAGGCAUCUUAGUUUCCCUUCGUUCACCCCACCAAAUAGCAUAGCCCCUGAUUUAUAUCCGCAAGAUAUGGCAUAUUUUUCCAACUCCUCUUUCUCAGCGUCUGUUAACUCUUGUCCAAGUAGAUCUUGAAAGUUAAAACCUUCUUCUUCAGAAAUCUCAUCAAUUUGCUCUUUCCCCUUUUCAGUUGCCGUGCUCACCGCAGCUGCAGUAGUUUCUUCUUCAGUCAUUUUCAGGAGUAUAUUGUCAAUAACCUCAAGUGUAGUUUCCAGGUUCGACUCUUCGGUGGUCCCGGCUUCAGCCCCGGUAGCUUUGGCUUCGCCGGUCUCAGCUUCAGUGGUUUCCACUCCAGUAGCUUCGGCUGCGGCACCUUCGGCUUCGGCAGUCUCGGCAAAGACAAUUUUUGACACCGUCGCCGGUGGCGGUGUCUGAUGGAUCACAUCUGUCACUUGAAUAAUUCUCCGUUUUUUCGGCUUCACAGGACUUUUUGCUGCCGAAGCUGCCUUGUCCCUCUGAAAAAACUUUGUCAGUUCCAGUGCCAGUGGACUUAGCCUGAUAGGCAAAGGUUCAGUCAUUACCUUCAUAAUCUCUUCUACUUCAACAGCAGAAGGAGAAGCAGGAGUAUCUUCUUCUCGGACCGGCGUUUCCGGUUCUGGGGAUGCACUUUUUCUCUUUCUUGUAGUGGCCACCUUCGGCUCAGGAUUUAACUCUUCAGUGCUAAGAUUUUCAGAAUCUUUCUUUUUCUUUUUGGCUACCUUGACGACUUCUUCGUCAGUAGCGCUGGCAAUCCUUUUUCGCUUCGGGCCUCCAGCAUCUCCGCCCAGUCGGCCGUAGUCAGCAUAUUCAAAUCCUAUGGCAUCAAGCACCCUGUUCAGCCUUCGUUUCGGCCGAGUGCCGAAGGCCGCUGUCAUCAGUUGGUCCUCUUUUUUAGAGUAAUUCCCAAGAAUUUCAUUACUCAUUGUUUCAAUUGUAUCAAGCCAUUCUUGGCAGGGUACUUUAAAAUAUUUCUUGAACUUAUAAUAGUAGGGCAGUCGGACGAGUUCCCCCUCUUUCUUUUCCCCUUUAAGCUUCGGCAUUGUCCACUCUUUCAUAGUUGGAAAAACUCUGAAGGCCAGGAAUUCCUGCACUAAAUCUCUAGUGCCAAUAUGUUCAGCUAUAAUUUUGAAUUCGCCCAGUGCAGCCCAAGUUGGACCUUCUACUGCCAUUUUGCAUCGGGGUCUUGUUUCUCCGAAGAUUAGUUCAAGAGGGCUCUGAACCAGCUUCUCUUUAUCUUCAUCAACUUUGACAUAAAACCAUUCUGAUUUCCAGCCUGCCGGCCAUUUGCUUCGGUAGCUGAUCACGGGAAACUUCGUGGUUUUCCGAUAAGCAAAAUUAUAGCAACCAAAAUUUUUAUGUAAUCCAUCUUUUCUGGCCUUAGUUUGAUAAUGCAGCUCAUGAACUCGACAGAAGCUGUCGGCAAACGGCUCCACCGCCUGGCUUCGGAGAGCCCAGAUAUAGACGCUGAGCCUGACAAUUGCGUUGGGAGUUAGUUGGUGAAAGUAGAUACCAAAUCUUUGCAGCACAUCAGAGAUCAUCCUAUUUAAGGGGAAUCUCAACCCAGCUUUUAGAAAGCUCUUGAAAAUAACUAUUUCAUCUUUUUCUGGCUUCGGGGUAGUUUCUUCCCCCCCCCCCCCCCGAAGCGAAGCAGCUUCUUCUCAUUCUCACUAAAAUAGCCCGACUUCACCAUUUUGGAGAAAUCAGCCUUGGAAACAGUCGACUUUCUGAAGUCCAAAUGGCUGGGCUUGCUUGGUACGGCAAUAUGGUAAUCAUCAUCGGAAUCAGCUUCCUCAAUAUCUCCUUCUUCCGCUUCGGCAGCAACUUGUUCUGUAUCGGCAACAGUUUGCUCUGUCUCGGCAGUACGGAUUCCUUCCGAGGUCACCAGUCCGGAUCGUUGCAUCGCUUCGGAGAUAGGAACAGUCUCCGCUCCUUCGGCUUCGCCUCCCUCACGCUCAACUCUAGCGGUAGAGCGCACUCUGGCCAUUUAAUUCUGAAUUUCUUGCGAACUAAAUAACUUCCUCUCCCGAAGCUUUUCUUCUGACGAAGUAGGCCUUGAACUAGAGCUUCGUCUGAUUGCGAGAGCAAAGCUUCGGCUAUGGUUGAAAAUUUUGGCAGCAGAACAGUGCAAUAGCAAUGAAUGAUGUGGUAACUUCACACCUACCCAUCUGUUUAUAUAGUGCUGCAGGUAAGAAGGUGAAUCGUCAGGAUUUUUACACCAGGAAAACAACUGCUUACACCCGCUGCGCGGUGGACCGCAGAGACCAAAUAGUAACCCUGCAGGGUGGGACCGCUACGCGCUCGGAAACUGAAUCGUUUCUCGACAACGAGCUCAGGGAAGGUGUUUUUCGGACCUUCGGCUUCCUGAAGCCUAAGAGACUUUUUUCACGGAUCAAGCUCGUUACGAAAAACGAUCUAGCACCGCGAAGGGGCUACUGUUGGGACCAUGCUUCGUCGCCGAAGGUCCUGUAGGAAGAAACAGCUUCGGCUGAAGCUGUCUACACGUGAUGCCGAAGGGUGCCGUUCAUGAAGCUUCGGAAUUACAAACCGACUUAAAAGUAGAAUGACCUUUUAGUCCAUAAGUGUUUGAGUCAUUGUUGUAAACUUUUAUGAGGGGUAUGAUUGUAAUUGCUCACAGGCUGUGUCCUGUGCCUAUAAAUAGUGAACAGUAUUCCUUUACUGUUCGGGCAUUCCUGUAAUUGCAAUCGCAUCAUUCGGGAAUUAUUCUUUGCCAAGGCAGAGGUAUAAAUGUAUCUAAUAUUUGAAUACAUCAAGUUGAUAUAAUAUGAAAAUGAUGUUGUUCAUUUAUAAUUUACUUGUCUUUAAUGUUUCAUAUCUCGUAUUAUUUUAUACAAUUUAUUAAAGUUCAAUUACUAAGAAACAACCUUCGUAGUUGUAUCGUCUUUAACCUUCGUCCGAAGUGCAUUAAAUCCUUAAGGAAAUAAUGCUUCAGCGGACGAAGGGCAUUAACAUUUAACAUUUUUAUGUUGCCUUGUUCUUAAUUCAUAGCAUUUGAGAACGAGUCCCCAACAGUAGUCUUGGCUAAACCAAAAUAGUAUUAAUUCCAUAUUUAUUUAUGUUAGCCAACAUAAUUAGUUUUAGAAAAGACUAUUCACCCCCCUCUAGUCCGCCAUCUCAACCCUACAUCUGGCAUCACUGACUUGCUCAUGUUGGAAUGAAGAACCUUCACAAGCUUUUAAAGGGGAGCACAUUUUAGGACUAACCAAUGUUCAUUUGAGAAAAAGAGGAUUUAUAGCGCAUAUCAAGCAGGGAAGCAGGUUGGAGUUCAUCAUCCACACAAGAACAUCAUGACGACCGAAAUGCCGCUUGAGCUACUACACAUGGAUCUAUUUGGCCUGAUUGCUUACAUAAGCAUCGACGGGAGUAAGUAUUGUCUUGUAAUUGUGGAUGAUUAUUCUCGCUUCACUUGGGUGUUCUUUUUGCGGGAAAAAUCUCAAACCCAAGAGACCUUAAAGAGAUUCUUGAGACGGGCUCAAAAUGAGUCCGGAUUAAGAAUCAAGAAGAUUAGAAGCGACAAUGGGACGGAGUUCAAGAACUCUCAAAUCGAAGGGUUUCUUAAGGAGGAGGGCAUCAAGCAUGAGUUCUCUUCUUCCUACACACCUCAACAAUACGAUAUUGUAGAGAGAAAGAAUAGAACUCUCUUGGAUAUGGCGAGGACCAUGCUUGAUGAGUACAAGACACCGGAUCGAUUUCGGGCGGAAGCGAUUAACACCGCUUGCUACUCCAUCAACCGACUGUACCUUCACCGAAUCCUCAAUAAAACAUUAUAGAACUCCUCAUUGGUAAAAAUCCCAAUGUUUCUUAUUUUAGAGUUUUUGGGAGCAAGUGCUUUAUUCUUAUUAAAAGAGGUAGAAAUUCAAAAUUUGCAUCUAAAGCAGAAGAAGGCUUUUUACUUGGUUAUGACUCAAACACAAGGGCAUAUAGAGUCUUCAACAAAUCCACUGGAUUAGUUGAAGUUUCUUGUGACAUUGUGUUUGAUGAGACUAACGGCUCUCAAGUAGAGCAAGUUGAUCUUGAUGAAUUAGAUGAUGAAGAGGCUCCAUGCGUCGCGCUAAGGAACAUGUCCAUUGGAGAUGUGUGUCCAAAAGAACCCAAAGAGCAUUCACAAGCACAAGAUCAACCAUCAUCUUACAUGCAAGCAUCUCCACCAACUCAAGAUGAGGAAAUGGCUCAGGAAGACAAGGAUCAAGAUCAAGAUGAUGAGCCACCUCAAGCGGAAGACAUUUGAUAGUCGCCUAGAGGGGGGGGUGAAUAGGGCGAAACUGAAAUUUACAAAUAUAAACACAACUACAAGCCGGGGUUAGCGUUAGUAAUAAUAAAUGAGUCCGCAAGAGAGGGCGCAAAACAAAUCGCAAGCAAAUAAGGAGAGUGACACGCGGAUUUGUUUUACCGAGGUUCGGUUCUUGCAAACCUACUCCCCGUUGAGGAGGCCACAAAGGCCGGGUCUCUUUCAACCCUUCCCUCUCUCAAACGGUCCCUCGGACCGAGUGAGCUUUCCUUCUUCUCAAUCAACCGGGAACAAAACUUCCCCGCAAGGGCCACCACACAAUCGGUGCCUCUUGCCUCGGUUACAAUCGAGUGUUGAUCACAAGAGCACAAGAGAAAGAAAGAAUGCGAUCCAAGCGCAAGAGCUCAAAAGAACACGGAAAAUCUCUCUCGCUAGUCACUAAAGGCUUGAGUGGAAUUUGGAGAGGAUUUGAUCUUUUUGUAUGUGUCUAGAAUUGAGUGCCUAGCUCUUGUAAGUGGUUAGAAGUUGGAAAACUUGGAUGGCUAUGAAUGUGGGGUGGUUGGGGUAUUUAUAGCCCCAACCACCAAACUUGACCGUUGGCUGGAGGCUUCUGUUCGAUGGCGCACCGGACAGUCCGGUGCACACCGGACAGUCCGGUGCCCCUGCCACGUCACCACUGCCGUUGGAUUCUAGCCGUUGGAGCUUCUGACUUGUGGGCCCGCCUGGGCGUCCGGUGCACACCGGACAUGCACUGUUUGAUGUCCGGUGCACCGGUAUGGGCAGCCCUGACGUCUGCGCGCGCUGCGCGCGCAUUUAAUGCUGCGCAGAGAGCCGUUGGCGCCGCAGAGAGCCGUUGCUCCGCUGGUACACCGGACAGUCCGGUGCACACCGGACAGUCCGGUGAAUUAUAGCGGAGCGGCUGUCGCGCGAACCCGAGGCUGGCGAGUUCCGGAGGCCGAGCUUCCUUGGAGCACCGGACAUGUCCGGUGCACACCGGACAGUCCGGUGAAUUAUAGCGCGUCGGCUUCCGAGAAUUCCCGAGAGAGAAGGGUUUGAGUCUGAGUCCCCUGGUGCACCGGACAGGUACUGUGCACUGUCCGGUGGCACACCGGACAGUCCGGUGCGCCAGACCAGGGGUGCCCUCGGUUGCCCCUUUGCUCCUUUAUUGAAUCCAACACUUGAUCUUUUUAUUGGCUAGAUGUGAACCUUUUGCACCUGUAUAACUUAUACACUAGAGCAAACUAGUCAGUCCAAUAUUUGUGUUGGGCAAUUCAACCUCCAAAAUUAUUUAGGAACUAGGUGUAAGCCUAAUUCCCUUUCAAUCUCCCCCUUUUUGGUGAUUGAUGCCAACACAAACCAAAGCAAAUAUAGAAGUGCAUAAUUGAACUAGUUUGCAUAAUGUAAGUGAAAAGGUUACUUGGAAUUGAGCCAAUAUAACUACUUACAAGAUAUGCAAGGAAUGUUUCUUUCUUAUAUAACAUUUUGGACCACGUUUGCACCACAUGUUUUGUUUUUGCAAAUUCUUUUUGUAAAUCCAUUUCAAAGAUCUUUUGCAAAUAGUCAAAGGUACAUGAAUAAGAGUUUGCAAAGCAUUUUCAGGUUUUGAAAUUGUCUCCCCCUAUGUCAAAUGCUUUUCCUUUGACUAAACAAAACUCCCCCUAAAAGAGAUCCACCUCUUAGUGUUCAAGAGGGUUUUGAUAUGCCGUUUUUGAAAUACUACUUUCUCCCCCUUUUGAACACAAUAGGAUACCAAAUGAUAAAGACUUUUGGAAAGCACUAAGUUUUUGAAUUUGGUGGUGGUGGUGCGGUCCUUUUGCUUUGGGCUCAUUUCUCCCCCUUUUUGGCAUGAAUCGCCAAAAACGGAAUCAUUAGAGCCCUCUUGGAGUGCAAUCUUCCCCUUUGGUCAUAAAUAAAUGAGUUAAGAUUAUACCAAAGACGAAGUCCUGUUGCGUUUGAGCUUUUACUCUCUCCCCCAAGGAUGAAGUCCUUUUCCUUGAUGCUCAUUUCUCCCCCAAAGACGAGAGAGUUGCUCGGAGUGAUGGCGAAGUAUGAGUUACGGAGUGGAAGCCUUUGUCUUCGCCGAAGACUCCAAUUCCCUUUCAAUAUACCUAUGACUUGGUUUGAAAUAAACUUGAAAACACAUUAGUCAUAGCAUAUAAAAGAGAUAUGAUCAAAUGUAUUCAAAAGAGCUAUGUGUGCAAGCUUAGCAAAAGAAAUUUCUAGAAUCAAGAAUAUUGAGCUCAUGCCUAAGUCUGGUAAAAGAUUGUUCAUCAAGUGGCUUGGUAAAGAUAUCGGCUAAUUGAUCUUUAGUAUUAAUGUAAGAAAUCUCGAUAUCCCCCUUUUGUUGGUGAUCCCUAAGAAAAUGAUACCGAAUGGCUAUGUGCUUAGUGCGGCUAUGCUCGACGGGAUUGUCGGCCAUUUUGAUUGCACUCUCAUUAUCACAUAGCAAAGGGACUUUGGUUAAUUUGUAACCGUAGUCCCGCAGGGUUUGCCUCAUCCAAAGCAAUUGCGCGCAACAAUGUCCUGCGGCAAUGUACUCGGCUUCGGCGGUGGAAAGAGCGACCGAAUUUUGCUUCUUUGAAGCCCAAGACACCAAGGACCUUCCCAAGAACUGGCAAGUCCCUGAUGUGCUCUUCCUAUUAAUUUUGCACCCCGCCCAAUCGGCAUCCGAAUAACCAAUUAAAUCAAAUGUGGAUCCCCGAGGGUACCAAAGCCCAAACUUAGGAGUAUAAGCCAAAUAUCUCAAGAUUCGUUUUACGGCCGUAAGGUGGGAUUCCUUAGGGUCGGAUUGGAAUCUUGCACACAUGCAAACGGAAAGCAUAAUGUCCGGUCGAGAUGCACAUAAAUAAAGCAAUGAACCAAUCAUCGACCGGUAUACCUUUUGAUCCACGGACUUACCUCCCGUGUCGAGGUCGAGAUGCCCAUUAGUUCCCAUGGGUGUCUUGAUGGGUUUGGCAUCCUUCAUCCCAAACUUAGCAAGAAUGUCUUGAGUGUACUUCGUUUGGCUAAUGAAGGUGCCCUCUCGGAGUUGCUUGAUUUGGAAUCCUAGAAAAUAUUUCAACUCCCCCAUCAUCGACAUCUCGAAUUUCUGUGUCAUGAUCCUACUAAACUCUUCACAUGUAGACUCGUUAGUAGACCCAAAUAUAAUAUCAUCAACAUAAAUUUGGCAUACAAACAAGUCAUUUUCAAGAGUUUUAGUAAAGAGUGUAGGAUCGGCCUUGCCGACUUUGAAGCCAUUUGCAAUAAGGAAAUCUCUAAGGCAUUCAUACCAUGCUCUUGGGGCUUGCUUGAGCCCAUAAAGCGCCUUAGAGAGCCUAUAAACAUGGUUAGGAUACUCACUGUCUUCAAAGCCGGGAGGUUGCUCAACAUAGACCUCUUCCUUGAUUGGUCCAUUGAGGAAGGCACUCUUCACGUCCAUUUGAUAAAGCUUGAAGCCAUGGUAAGUAGCAUAGGCCAAUAAUAUGCGAAUUGACUCAAGCCUAGCUACGGGUGCAUAGGUUUCACCGAAAUCCAAACCUUCGACUUGUGAAUACCCUUUGGCUACGAGUCGAGCUUUGUUCCUUGUCACCACACCAUGCUCAUCUUGCUUGUUGCGGAAGACCCAUUUGGUUCCUACAACAUUUUGGUUAGGACGUGGAACUAAAUGCCAGACCUCAUUCCUCGUGAAGUUGUUGAGCUCUUCUUGCAUCGCCACCACCCAAUCCGAAUCUUGGAGAGCUUCCUCUACCCUGUGUGGCUCAAUAGAGGAAACAAAAGAGUAAUGUUCACAAAAAUGAGCAACCCGAGAUCGAGUAGUUACCCCCUUAUGAAUGUCGCCGAGGAUGGUGUCGACGGGGUGAUCUCGUUGGAUUGCUUGGUGGACUCUUGGGUGUGGCGGUCUUGGUUCUUCCUCAUCCUCCUUUUCUUGAUCAUUUGUAUCUCCCCCUUGAUCAUUGCUAUCAUCUUGAGGUGGCUCGUCUUCUUGAUUUUGCUCUUCAUCAUUUUGAGCCUCAUCCUCAUUUUGAGUUGGUGGAGAUGCUUGCAUGGAGGAGGAUGGUUGAUCUUGUGUACUUGGAGGCUCUUCGGAUUCCUUAGGACACACAUCCCCGAUGGACAUGUUCCUUAGCGCGAUGCAUGGAGCCUGUUCAUCACCUAUCUCAUCAAGAUCAACUUGCUCUACUUGAGAGCCGUUAGUUUCAUCAAACACAACGUCACAAGAGACUUCAACUAGUCCAGUGGACUUGUUAAAGACCCUAUAUGCCCUUGUGUUUGAGUCAUAACCAAGUAAAAAGCCUUCUACAGUUUUAGGAGCAAAUUUAGAUUUUCUACCUCUUUUAAUAAGAAUGAAGCAUUUGCUACCAAAAACUCUAAAAUAUGAAAUGUUGGGCUUUUUACCGGUUAGGAGUUCAUAUGAUGUCUUCUUGAGGAUUCGGUGAAGAUAUAACCGGUUGAUGGCGUAGCAGGCGGUGUUGACCGCUUCGGCCCAAAACCGGUCCGGUGUCUUGUACUCAUCAAGCAUGGUUCUUGCCAUGUCCAAUAGAGUUCGAUUCUUCCUCUCCACUACACCAUUUUGUUGUGGCGUGUAGGGAGAAGAGAACUCAUGCUUGAUGCCCUCCUCCUCAAGGAAGCUUUCAAUUUGAGAGUUCUUGAACUCCGUCCCAUUGUCGCUUCUUAUUUUCUUGAUCCUUAAGCCGAACUCAUUUUGAGCUCGUCUCAAGAAUCCCUUUAAGGUCUCUUGGGUUUGAGAUUUUUCCUGUAAAAAGAAUACCCAAGUGAAGCGAGAAUAAUCAUCCACAAUAACUAGACAGUACUUACUCCCGCCGAUGCUUAUGUAAGCGAUCGGGCCGAAUAGAUCCAUGUGUAGGAGCUCCAGUGGCCUGUCAGUCGUCAUUAUGUUCUUGUGUGGAUGAUGAGUGCCAACUUGCUUCCCUGCUUGGCAUGCGCUACAAAUCCUGUCUUUCUCAAAAUGAACAUUGGUUAGUCCUAAAAUGUGCUCUCCCUUUAGAAGCUUAUGAAGAUUCUUCAUCCCAACAUGGGCUAGUCGGCGGUGCCAGAGCCAACCCAUGUUAGUCUUAGCAAUUAAACAUGUGUCGAGCUCAGCUCUAUCAAAAUCUACUAAGUAUAGCUGACCCUCUAACACACCCUUAAAUGCUAUUGAAUCAUCACUUCUUCUAAAGACAGUGACACCUAUAUCAGUAAAAAGACAGUUGUAGCCCAUUUGACAUAAUUGGGAAACAGAAAGCAAGUUGUAAUCUAAUGAAUCAACAAGAAAAACAUUGGAAAUGGAAUGGUCAGGUGAAAUAGCAAUUUUACCCAAACCUUUGACCAACCCUUGAUUUCCAUCCCCAAAUGUGAUAGCUCGUUGGGGAUCUUUGUUUUUCUCAUAUGAGGAGAACAUCCUUUUCUCCCCGGUCAUGUGGUUUGUGCACCCGCUGUCGAGUAUCCAACUUGAGCCCCCGGAUGCAUAAACCUACAAAACAAAUUUAGUUCUUGACUUUAGGUACCCAAACUGUUUUGGGUCCUUUGGCAUUAGAUACAAGAACUUUGGGUACCCAAACACAAGUCUUGGAGCCCUUGUGUUUGCCCCCAACAAAUUUGGCAACUACUUUGCCGGAUUUGCUAGUAAGCACAUAAGACGCAUCAAAAGUUUUAAAUGAAAUGGCAUGAUCAUUUGAUGCAUUAGGAAUUUUCUUCUUAGGCAACUUGGCACGGGUUGGUUGCCUAGAACUAGAUGUCUCACCCUUAUACAUGAAAGCAUGGUUAGGGCCAGAGUGAGACUUCCUAGAAUGAAUCUUCCUAAUUUUGCUCUCAGGAUAGCCUGCAGGGUAUAAAAUGUAACCCUCGUUAUCCUGAGGCAUGGGAGCUUUGCCCUUAACAAAGUUAGACAAGUUCUUAGGAGGGGCAUUAAGUUUGACAUUGUCUCCCUUUUGGAAGCCAAUGCCAUCCUUGAUGCCAGGGCGUCUCCCAUUAUAGAGCAUGUUUCUAGCCAAUUUAAAUUUUUCAUUUUCUAAGUCAUGCUCUCUAAUCUUAGCAUUUAGUUGAGCUAUGUGAUCAUUUUGUUUAUUAAUUAAGGCUAGGUGAUCAUGGAUAGCAUCAACAUUAAUAUCUCUACAUCUAGUGCAAAUAGAAACAUGCUCAACAUUAGAUGUAGAGGGUGUGCAAGAUUUAAGUUCUACAACCUUAGCAUGCAACAUUUCAUUCUUAGUUCUAAGGUCGGAAAUAGUAGCAUUGCAAACAUCAAAAUUUUUAGCCUUAGUAAUUAAAUUAUCAUUCUCUAAUCUAAGGCUAGCAAGAGAUGCAUUCAAUUCAUCAAUCUUAGCAAGCAAGUCAACGUUAUCAUUUCUAAGAUUGGGAAUUGAAACAUUACAAACAUGUGAAUCAACCUUAGCAUUUAAAAUAGCAUUUUCAUUUCUAAGGUUGUCAAUCAUCUCACGGCAAGUGCUUAGCUCACUAGACAAUUUUUCACAUUUUUCAACCUGUAGAGCGUAAGCAUUUUUAACCUUAACAUGUUUCUUAUUCUCCUUGAUUAGGAAGUCCUCUUGGGAGUCCAAGAGAUCAUCCUUUUCAUGGAUGGCACUAAUUAGUUCAUUUAAUUUUUCCUUUUGUUCCAUGUUAAGGUUAGCAAAAAGAAUGCGCAAGUUAUCCUCCUCAUUUUUAUCAUCAUCCUCAUCACUAGAUGUUUCAUAUUUGGUGGAGGACCUUGAUUUUACCUUCUUUUUGCCGUCCUUGGCCAUGAGACACUUGUGGCCGACGUUGGGGAAGAGAAGGCCCUUGGUGACGGCGAUGUUGGCGGCGUCCUCGUCGUCGGAGGAGUCGCUUGAGCUUUCGUCGGAGUCCCACUCCCGACAAACAUGGGCAUCGCCGCCCUUCUUCUUGUAGUAUUUCUUCUUCUCCUUUCUUCUUCCCUUCUUGUCGUCGCCCCUGUCACUGUCACUAGACAUAGGACAUUUUGCAAUGAAGUGACCGGGCUUACCACACUUGUAGCAAACCUUCUUGGAACGAGGUUUGUAGUCCUUCCCCUUCCGUUGCUUGAGGAUUUGCCUAAAGCUUUUGAUGAUUAGGGCCAUCUCCUCAUUGUCGAGCUUGGAGGCGUCAAUUGGUUGUCUACUUGGUGUAGAUUCCUCCUUCUUCUCCUCCGUUGCCUUAAAGGCCACUGGUUGCGCCUCGGAGGUGGAAGGCUCGUCAAGCUCGUUGAUCUUCUUGGAGCCCUUAAUCAUGCAUUCAAAACUCACAAAAUUCCCGAUAACUUCCUCGGGGGUCAUUAGUGGAUAUCUAGGAUUCCCACGAAUUAAUUGUACUUGAGUGGGGUUAAGGAAAAUAAGAGCUCUUAGAAUAACCUUAACCACUUCGUGGUCAUCCCAUUUUGUGCUCCCGAGGUUGCGCACUUGGUUCACCAAGGUCUUGAGCCGGUUGUACAUGUCUUGUGGCUCCUCCCCUUGGCGAAGACGGAAGCGACCGAGCUCCCCCUCGAUCGUUUCCCGCUUGGUGAUCUUGGUGAGUUCAUCACCCUCGUGCGCCGUCUUGAGUAGGUCCCAAAUCUCCUUGGCGUUCUUCAAUCCUUGUACUUUGUUGUAUUCCUCCUUGCUUAGGGAGGCAAGGAGGAUGGUUGCGGCUUGGGAGUUGAAGUGCUCGAUUUGGGCCACUUCGUCCGUGUCGUAGUCCUCAUCCCCUAUUGAUGGUACCUGUACACCAUACUCAACAACAUCCCAUAUUCUUUUGUGGAGAGAGGUUAGAUGAAAUCGCAUCAAAUUACUCCACAUAGCAUAAUCUUCACCAUUAAAAGUUGGUGGUUUGCCUAAUGGGACGGAAAGUAAAGGUGUAUGUUUAGGAAUGCGAGGGUAACGUAGGGGGAUCUUACUAUACUUCUUGCGCUCUUGGCGCUUAGAAGUGACGGAGGGCGCAUCGGAGUCGGAGGUAGAAGUUGAUGAAGUGUCGGUCUCGUAGUAGACCACCUUCCUCAUCCUCUUGUGCUUGUCGCCUUUCCGAUGCGGCUUGUGGGAAGAAGAUUUUUCCUUCUUCUCUUUGUGGUGAGAAGAAGAUUUCUUCUCCUUCCCUUUGUUUGAGGAGCUCUUCUUCUUCUCCCUCCUUUUGGUGCGGGACUCUUCCGAUGAAGUGCUCCCGUAGCUUGUAGUGGGCUUUUCGCCGGUCUCCAUCUCCUUCUUGGCGUGAUCUCCCGACAUCACUUCGAGCGGUUAGGCUCUAAUGAAGCACCGGGCUUUGAUACCAAUUGAUAGUCGCCUAGAGGGGGGGGUGAAUAGGGCGAAACUGAAAUUUACAAAUAUAAACACAACUACAAGCCGGGGUUAGCGUUAGUAAUAAUAAAUGAGUCCGCAAGAGAGGGCGCAAAACAAAUCGCAAGCAAAUAAGGAGAGUGACACGCGGAUUUGUUUUACCGAGGUUCGGUUCUUGCAAACCUACUCCCCGUUGAGGAGGCCACAAAGGCCGGGUCUCUUUCAACCCUUCCCUCUCUCAAACGGUCCCUCGGACCGAGUGAGCUUUCCUUCUUCUCAAUCAACCGGGAACAAAACUUCCCCGCAAGGGCCACCACACAAUCGGUGCCUCUUGCCUCGGUUACAAUCGAGUGUUGAUCACAAGAGCACAAGAGAAAGAAAGAAUGCGAUCCAAGCGCAAGAGCUCAAAAGAACACGGAAAAUCUCUCUCGCUAGUCACUAAAGGCUUGAGUGGAAUUUGGAGAGGAUUUGAUCUUUUUGUAUGUGUCUAGAAUUGAGUGCCUAGCUCUUGUAAGUGGUUAGAAGUUGGAAAACUUGGAUGGCUAUGAAUGUGGGGUGGUUGGGGUAUUUAUAGCCCCAACCACCAAACUUGACCGUUGGCUGGAGGCUUCUGUUCGAUGGCGCACCGGACAGUCCGGUGCACACCGGACAGUCCGGUGCCCCUGCCACGUCACCACUGCCGUUGGAUUCUAGUCGUUGGAGCUUCUGACUUGUGGGCCCGCCUGGGUGUCCGGUGCACACCGGACAUGCACUGUUUGAUGUCCGGUGCACCGGUAUGGGCAGCCCUGACGUCUGCGCGCGCUGCGCGCGCAUUUAAUGCUGCGCAGAGAGCCGUUGGCGCCGCAGAGAGCCGUUGCUCCGCUGGUACACCGGACAGUCCGGUGCACACCGGACAGUCCGGUGAAUUAUAGCGGAGCGGCUGUCGCGCGAACCCGAGGCUGGCGAGUUCCGGAGGCCGAGCUUCCUUGGAGCACCGGACAUGUCCGGUGCACACCGGACAGUCCGGUGAAUUAUAGCGCGUCGGCUUCCGAGAAUUCCCGAGAGAGAAGGGUUUGAGUCUGAGUCCCCUGGUGCACCGGACAGGUACUGUGCACUGUCCGGUGGCACACCGGACAGUCCGGUGCGCCAGACCAGGGGUGCCCUCGGUUGCCCCUUUGCUCCUUUAUUGAAUCCAACACUUGAUCUUUUUAUUGGCUAGAUGUGAACCUUUUGCACCUGUAUAACUUAUACACUAGAGCAAACUAGUCAGUCCAAUAUUUGUGUUGGGCAAUUCAACCUCCAAAAUUAUUUAGGAACUAGGUGUAAGCCUAAUUCCCUUUCAACAUUGAUCAAGGGGGAGAUGAAGAUGAUCAAGAAAAGAAAGAUGAUCAAGAGAUUCAAGAUCAAAGACCACCACACCCAAGAGUCCACCAAACAAUUCAAAGAGAUCACCCCAUCAACUCCAUCCUUGGUGAUAUCCACAAUGGGGUAAUCACUCGAUCUUGAGUUGCACAUUUUUGUGAACAUUACUCUUUUGUGUCUUCUAUUGAGCCAUGCAGGAUAGAGGAUGCUGUCACACCCCGGAUUUAAGGGAUAAAGCCGGGCACGUCUCAUAUGUGCGCCAAAGAAAAACAACACAUAUAAUAAUAGAGUGUAUAGAGAUAAAUGUCAUAAUAUCAUAAAAGUAUUUAUUACAUAGCGGAAGUUUUACAAAAAUUAAAUAUAAAUAUAAAGUGAACUAAUGUCCAUCCUUGGCGCCAUAAAGUCGACUGGCAGACGCCACCUAGGUCAAGUCGUACUCCUCGUUGUAUGGCUCCUCCUGGACCACCUGCUCUUCUCUUGUGGGGGGGUAUGUAUCGCAAGUGUGAGCUCACAAAAGAUCAUAGCUCAAUAGGUUGUGGGGAAUAAUGUGCAUGAACUCACCAAAGGUGGGAGUUCAUGUGAAGUGUAAGGCUAAUCAACAAUAGGGGUUAAAGCUGAGCAUUGUUUUUAAUAAGUUGGUCAAAUUUUAUUAGCAAUUACUAGAUGUAAGUAAAUACCAUACUAGAAUAGAAAUAAUAGAACAAAUUAAUAGUGAAUCCCAUGCAAUGCAAAUGACAAAUUGAAUUUAGUUCCAUAGUUUAAUCAUGCGAGAGUCCUGAACUGCUCAUGACCGCGAGCACGGCUAGUAUACCAGUUUUACACUCUGCAGAGGUUGUACCCUAUACCCACAAGUCAUGUUACCCAUCUGCCAAGGGGUCAUGAAUCCCAUACACCUCUACCAAGGAGGCGAGGCAGGGUAACACUACGAGGCCUUUACAAAGUUCUACUAGCUUCAGAAAACCCGCUACAGUUUCUAGGAAGAGGAAUGCAAGAAUCCCCCGUCUGACCGCCAUCGCAGCAAAAUCAACCCGAGAACCUCCCUACAUGCCUACUCCCCUACUGCACUUGCCCUUAUCGGGUAAGGUAGUCCUCCACUAGCUUUCCUAGUUAGUCAGCCAAGGGCGUCUCAUUUCACCCUUGUGGUGGCACGUGUUUCUCAAGUUAAGCUCCAUAUUCUAAUUAAAAAUAAUGAUCUUGACAUGAACAUUAAAUAAAUAACAGUAUAAUUGGAACAUGAACAUAAUGUAAUAUUAAACCCAAAACCAUAUAGAGCAAUAGCAAAACUACCUAAAUAAUUCAGGGGUGAACACGGUAAAAAGAUUACAAGACUAGGGUGACCUAUUGGGUCCAUCAAAAUUAAACCUAUGCAUGAAUAAAUGAUUAUAAAGAACAUUAUUGGGUAAUAAAAGUGGUCAAGGGCACAACUUGCCUUCAAAAUACAAACAAGCAUAGUACAAAGGAGAAAUUAACAUCACACCAAACAUGUAUACAAAAUACAUAUUAAUAAUCUACACACUAAAAUGAGAUCAUAGGAAAAAGAAUCACUAAAUUUAGAGUUAUGGAUUUUAAGUUAUGGAUUUCCGAAGGUUCUAUGUAUUUGACAAAAGAUUCAUUAAGAGAUCAAUUUUAAUACAUUUUUCAUGUCAAAACAGAGACAUUAUGUGAUGAACAAUAUUAUUACAAAAUUAUAGGAACUGGAAUGGACUAAAAAGGAGUUAAAACAAAUUUUAUAUGAAUUUUACAAAUUCCUAGAAUUAUUUUUGUAUUAAAAAUCAAUUUCUAUAAUUAAUUCUCUAAUUUCUCUUAUUCCUGGACUGCGCGCCAAUCAAACAGAAACACAGGAGCCACUGUGCAAGAAUUUCCAUACUCGGUACACAGUGGCACUGUGUUGGGGCGAAGGCGAAGACGCCACCCUUCGCUCGAUGCCUUCACCAGCCUCGCUGCACCAAUGAAGACAAGACGACUGGCAGACUUACCCUUCGUCCCACGCGUCGCUGGACGAAGGCCCAUGACGAGGUCGUCCCAUCCCGCGGCGUCGUCCAACAUGGAGGCCCACAUGUGAUCUGGCCCAUUGUAACAGUCCCUGCGCGGCCGCUGCGCAUUACGGGCCUAAUUUGUAAAGGUUUCCCUGUAAUUACAGUCUGUAACCCUGCUUUAUGGGAAUAUUCCGGAGAUAACCUAGGCGCCUGAGGGCACAUACGUCCUUAACUCAGGAUGCUGGGCACUCAGGUACCUAUAAAUACCCCCGCACAGUGCCCUUGUGAGGCUAGAUUAACAGAGCUAUUGCCACCUCGAAUCAAAACCUUGUUUACGUUGCUUUCACUCCCCCGUUGGAUCAACUUGUCCAGGAGAGCAAGUUCCAACACACUGGACUACGGGUUAGUUUCCGAUAAGCUCAGGGGCUAUUUUGCAUAACUACACGGCUAGAUCGAUAUGACGUUCUCUCAACCGCGCGAUCACACGAGGACGGUGCGGAUUAGAUCACUCUCUCCACGAACUGGUACGCAGCCUAGUCCCUUGGAUCAGCGAUCCAAGGCCACCGUUUAUCGUGCGCCCGAUUUGAUCACAAUCGUCCGAUCCCAUCGCCACAACACUAGGGAUGAAAACGGAUGGAAACGGACGGAAAAACCCCUCUCCCGUUUCCGUAUCUAAAUUUUAUCGUCGGAAACGGGAUCGGGCCCGGAAUAGUCGGGAACGGAAACGAGAGCGGGAUAAACGGAAUUGCGAAAACGAACGGAAACGGAAAUACUAACGGAAACUCAUAAUUUAAUACAAAUAUAAAUGUUACUGAUGUUUGACUAGUGAUUUAUUGGUAAAACAAUAACAUAAAACAAAUAGAUAUAAAGAGGCAACAUUCUAUUAUUGUUUGGUUGCUAAAUGUGUACAUUUAGCUACAUCCGAUGUUGUUUUAAGACUUUAAAUCACUUGUCAUUGAAAAGAGCCGGUGGUUAUAAUGGCCAAGUGUGCUAUAAUUUGUAACCUAAAUACACGAGGCUUUAGUUUAUAUACUAAUGUAUAUUAGGCUCGUCCCAUAUUUGUCAAAUUCGGAAAAAAUACGGGUUCAAUCCGGAAAAAAACGGGAUCCCGCAAAAACGGACGGAACAAACCCUCUCCUGUUUCUGUCACGUUUCCAUAUUUUUCCGUAAAUACGGAAACGGUCGGGUCAAAACGGUACGGUUCGGGAUGGGAUUUUAUUCUUCUGUAUUCAACCCUACACGGCACAGAUCCGACCGUGCGAAGGAGGAAACACGAUUAUCUAAUGCUGGUCGUGGAUGCCCGAUCCAACGGCCGACGUCUCUUCCCCAAUCCCCCGCUCACUCGCCGCGCCCAGCACGACGGAGGGCAUUGCCCAUGGCGGCACACCGCCGGAAUUUAGUCGCAAAAGGGGGGCCCGACGAUCAUACCCCGAUUAAAUAGGUUUCCACGUGGCUGGGAACAUGGAGAGGCCAAUAGGGGUAGUUGCACCACGGAUUAUGGCACCAAAUCACCGGCCACGGGAUUUAUGUGGACGACUUAGCCGCGGAGCCACAGCGGCGAGCGCGGAUGCUCAGGAUGCCCCAAACUAACCUCGACUCGUCAUAAUUGAUCGCAGAAAUGAUGCGUAAUGAAUGUAGUAUCGGUGUGGAUUCGUGGAGGCACUGGUCCUCUGGUCGGUGAUUUGCAGGGAAUCAACGCGGGCGUACCACUCCGGUGAAGCCGUCCGCACUCCCACCAAAUUGAUGCACACCACGAACGCCCAAGCCUUGCUAGAUGCCGGUAGCCCUGCGGUGCUGGACGACAGAGAAGAACCGGCCGGUGGCGGCAACAAAUUCUCCGCCCAAGGAGGUAGCGCACGGACGUAUGGUGGGACGCCAAGCACAUGGACAAAGGGAGGCGAGAGAUGAACGGGAUGAGUAGAUAUAGCGCGGGCGACACCCACGACUAGGGAACAGACUUCCCCAGGAUUCACGGCGAGGUCCCGCAAUUACCGGCAAGGUCGUGGCAAGCAGGUGCUGACAUUACGGGUCCACGUGAUAGAGUAACGCGCAGUGCAGAAGCAGCUGGCGCGUGGGGCCAGUGACGCAGCAAUAGCCAGCGCGCGGAAGUGAUAGAGCGGCUGUGGGUGACUGGCGCAUAGGCCUGCAGUGUCGGCGCCGAGUUCUUAAAUUUGGGCUACGCGGAAGGGAUUUGCUAGGUGGGCCAGAUUUAGGUUUCGCGGCCCACAAGUGGUUUCCUCUUUAUCUUUAUCUUUUAUCUUUUCUAAUUUAUUUUCCUUUUCAUUUUCAAAUCUAAAAUUUGAGUUCAAAUUUUGCAGAAAAAUUUGCACUCAAUUUCAAUAUUCAAUCUGAACAUAUCAAUGGGAUGAACUUAUUUAAUUAUGGAUUUAUUUUGUGCUCCAUAGUAUUUCUUCCUUCUUUUCUCUUCUAUAUAUUAUCUCUAAAUUCCUAAAUUAUGUCUUUGGGUUAAAUUCAAAAUUCUCAAAUUACUAUCAUAUUUUAUUAGUGUCACUAUCAUCUUUAUUAAAUGCACAAACAUACUCCAAUAUGAUCCAUGGCUUUUCUUUAUGUGUUUUUAUUAAAGAAUUCUCUUUUGAUUAGGUUUAGUCACAUGUCUCAAGAAAUAGCUAGCAAAUCACAUAAGGAGAUCAAAUCUUUCAUAAGUUUUAUAAUUUGGGUAUUACAGAUGCACUAAGAGAUCGGGGCUGGGUGGUGGCAAUGCAAGAGGAGCUCAACAACUUCACGAGGAAUGAGGUAUGUCAUUUAGUUCCACGUCCUAACCACAAUGUUGUAGGUACCAAGUAGGUAUUCCACAACAAACAAGAUGAGCAUGGUGUGGUGACUAGGAACAAAGCCCUACUUGUUGCUAAAGGAUAUUCACAAGUCGAAGGUUUGGAUUUUGAUGAAACCUAUGCACCCGUAGCUAGGCUUGAGUCGAUUCGUAUAUUACUUGCCUAUGUUACUUACCAUGGCUUUAAGUUGUAUCAAAUGGACGUGAAAAGUGUCUUCCUCAAUGGCCCUAUCAAGGAAGAGGUAUAUGUUGAGCAACUUCCCGGCUUUCAAGAUAGUGAGUAUCCUACACUUGUUUAUAAGCUCUCAAAGGCGCUUUAUGGGCUUAAACAAGCCCCAAGAGCAUGGUAUGAAUGCCUAAGAGACUUUCUUCUCACUAAUGGCUUUAAAAUCGAUAAAGCUGAUCCUACUCUCUCCACUAAAACAAUUGACAAAGACUUGUUUAUAUGCCAAAUUUAUAUUGAUGAUAUUAUCUUUGGGUCUACUAACAAGUCAUCUUGUGAAGAGUUUAGUAGGAUUAUGAUACAGAAAUUCGAGAUGUCUAUGAUGGGGGAGCUGAAGUAUUUCUUUGGAUUCCAAAUCAAGCAACUCCAAGAAGGCACCUUCAUCUACCAAACUAAGUAUAUUUAGGACAUUCUCAAGAAGUUUGGAAUGAAUGAUGCCAAACCCAUCAAGACUCCCAUGGGAACAAAUGGGCAUCGACCUCGACACAAGAGGUAAAUCUGUAGAUCAAAAGGUAUAUCGGUCGAUGAUAGGAUCUCUACUCUAUUUAUGUGCUUCACGACCGGAUAAUAUGCUUUCAGUAUGCAUGUGUGCAAGGUUCCAGGCCAAUCCUAAGGAAGUUCACCUUAGGGCUGUGAAAAGAAUCAUGAGAUAUUUAUUUUACACUCCUAAGUUUGGGCUAUGGUACCCCAAGGGAUCUACCUUUGAUCUAAUUGGGUAUUCUGCUGCCGAUUAUGCCAGAUGUAAAAUUGAUAGAAAUAGCACAUCAGGGACUUAUCAGUUUCUGGGGAGAUCUCUGAUGUCUUGGGCUUCAAAGAAACAAAAUUCAGUAGCUCUAUCCACCGCCGAAGCCAAGUAUGUUGUCGCAGGACAUUGUUGUGCACAAUUACUCUGGAUGAGGCAAACUCUUAGAAACUAUGGCUACAAAUUGCACAAAGUCCAUCUCCUAUGUGAUAAUGAGAGUGCAAUCCGCAUGGCGGAUAAUCCUGUUGAACACAGCCGCACUAAGCACAUAGACAUCCGGUAUCACUUUCUGAGAGAUCACCGACAAAGGGGAGAUAUCGAAAUUGCCUAUGUUAACAACCACAACCAAUUAGUCAAUAUCUUUACCAAGCCCCUAGAUGAAAAGACUUUUAGCAAGCUUAGGAAUGAACUAAAUAUCUUAGGUUCUCGAAACUUUGAUUGAAUUCUUGCACAUAUUGCCCUUUCCAUACCUUUGAUCAUAUCUCUUUCAUUUGGUACAAAUGCGUAUUUCUUAGUUCUUAUGCCAAAGCUAAGACUAAUGUGCUUCCAAGAAUAUUUCUAUGCCUAGUCUUAGAUUGAAAGGGAAAUAGAGUUUAAGGCAAAGGCAAGGCUUCCACUAUGACUGUCGGUAUCAUAUAUCCUUUGCCCUACUCAUGCACUUACUUUCAUAUCUUUAUUGUUAAAGGCCUCUAGUUUUCUUCGUUUUUGGCGCUUAAUGCCAAAGGGGGAGAAAUUAAUAGGCCAAAGCAAAAGGACCGCACCACCACCCUGUUCACCCUGUUUUGUAAAAACGUUUUCAAAAAGAAGGGGAGAAAUUAAAAACAAAAGUAAAAACCCUCUUGACAGCUAAGGGAAGAACCUUUUCAGAGGGGGUUUUUAUUUAGCCAAAGGAAAAGCAUUUAAGAAAGGGGGUGAAUCUUUUAAAACUUUAAAAAAUGCUUUCAAAAUCAUAUGCUUACACUAUUGGCUAAUUGCAAAAGAUUUUAAAAAGACUUUUCCAAAAUAUUUGCAAAAACAAGCUAAGUGGUGAAAAUGUGGUCCAAAAUAUUAAAUAUAUCAAGACAAUCACAUAUGUUUAGAACUGCUUUCAUUUCAAAGUAACUUAUGCACAUAUGACAAAAUGCAAACUAGUUACAUUUCUUCACUUUGUAUUUCAUUUGGUUUGUGUUGGCAUCAAUCACCAAAAAGAGGGAGAUUAAAAGGGAAAUGGCCUAAACAUUUCCUACAAUCGAUUUUGGUGUUUGACGACCAUCACAAACCUUAUGAACUAACUAGUUCGCCUAGUUAAUAUUUUUCUUAGUUGCAUAAAGUUCAUAUACACAUACAAAGAAAAUAACCUCGGGGCAAUUCUACAAGAUUGGAGCAAAACAGACGUGCUGAAGCCAGUGGCGCACCAGAGUGUCUGGUGCCCUGGCUAGAGCACUCCACGAACUGGCCGCUCUCGGGUUUUCUCGGCGCUCGUCCGCUAAAAAUCACCGGACUGUCCGGGGAACCCUCGGAGCAACAGUCGACUGCGGGACUGUGCCCGCAGUCUACAGUGCUAGAAGUCAGAAGACAGUCUGCGACGACAGGUCGCACCGUACUGUCUGGUGCACCAUAAGGACAGAAGACUUCAACGGUCAGCAACUCAAAACCCCAAUGGUCGACUGACGUGACAUGCACCGGACAGUGAACAGUGGAGUGUCCGGUGCACCACCGGACUGUCCGGUGUGCCCAUCGAGAGAGCAGUCAGCCAACGACUAGAAUAGUGGUUGCGGCUAUAAAUACCCCUCCAACCACCACCAUUCAAGCCAUCCAAGCAUCCCACUCUCCUCAUUCAAUACAAGAGCAAAGAAUACACUCUAAAGACACAUUCAAAGCCUCGAAUCCUCUCCAAGUGCCAAAAUCAAGUCAAGUGAUCUAAAGUGUUUAGUGACUUGAGAGAGGGUGAUUUGUGUUCUAAUUGUUGCUUUUGUUGCUCGAUUGCUUUCUUCUUCUUCUUCUUCGAAUCUUUCCAAGUGUUUUGUAAAGCAAGCAAGAGACACCUAAUUAUGUGGUGAUCCUUACAGGGUCUUAGUGACCCGUGAGAUUAAGAAGAAGCACUCGAUCAGUCUAAGUGACCGAUUGAGAGAGGGAAAGGUUUGAAAUAGACCCGGCCUUUAUGCCCUCCUCAACGGGGAGUAGAUUCUUUGGAACCGAACCUCGGGAAACAAAUCACCGUGUUCACUUGUAUUAAUCUUCACCAUUCAAUUUGUUUCUUCCCUCUACUCUCUCUCUAAAGUUCUCUUGCUCACAUUGUUUUGAGUUAGCUUCCAAUGUUAUCUGCAUUGAUUGAGCAACUCAUUGCAAGGAGAACUAUCUUCCGCACUCCAAAUUCACAAUUAUUUAUUUCUAAUCCUAACCCCGGGUGAAGUGAGUGUUUAAAGUUUAUAAUUUUCAGGUUUUGCCUAUUCACCCCUUCUAGGCGACUUUCAGAAGCAGCAACUUUCUGUCGACGGGUGUGGUGGACAGUCUGAUGCACACCGGACAUGCGUUGUUCACUGCCCGGUGCCCUGCCACGUCAGCCGACUGUUGGGGUCUAUAGUAGUCGACCAUUGGAUCCGACCGUUACCUAGACUGUCUAGUGCACACCAGAUAGUCCGGUGCUACAGCCCGAGACCGCCCGAUGUGGGCCUCUCUACGUAGACUGCCCGAUGUCCCACCGGACAGUCCAGUGCACACCAGACAUGUUACUGUCCACUGUCCGGUGCACCACCAGUGCGCUGGUUGACUGCCCACUUCAUGGAUUUCUUCGUUGUUUCCUUGGGCUUCUUUUGUUCUUGAGUCUUGGACUUCUAUGCUUCUUUUAUGUCUUCUUUUGAGGUGUUGCAUCCUUAGUGCCUUAGUCCAAUCCUCUUCACAUCAUGUGAACUAUAAACAUAAUUAAACACUAGCAAACAUAUUAGUCCACAUGUUAUGUUGAUCAUCAAACACCAAAAUCCCCUUAGCCAAAUGGCCCGGGGUCCAUUUUCCUUACAAUGAGGAGCAUGAAGGAUGCUACGAUGAGUUCGGAGAGGUUUAGGCCGUCGUCUCAUAGUCAACUAUAGUUGCGGAGGAUCGUUGUCGUCAUAUGAUGUAUUUAUUUAGCUAUUUUGUAUAGAACCUCUAUUAUAUAAUAAAUAUGUGACAUUGAUUUUUGUACCAUAAGUCAUCAUAUGUGUGAGACUUGAUCCUAGCACACAUUGAGACGCACUUGGAUCUGUCCUUAAAUCCGGGUGCACCCACCAAGCAAGUCUGCGAAGUGGAGAUCCAAGUCCAACACUAUGAGCCCACGUCGGAUUUGAUAAGAUGUGUCACUACAGGCCGCGACUGGAUAUAUAGGCGACAGACCAAGGGCGUGCCGGGAGGUCGCAAUCAACAUGACUAUACAUCCCCACGUACGGUCUGAGGUGCGCCUCCACUGCCUCAACGGGGCCAGUCGACCUUAGUCAUGGGGGACCUCAACACCGGAGCUUCUACAGUGGGACGUAUAGUGGACGGCACACGGUGGAUACACCAUACCGGGUGUACGCCUACGCACGCCGAUGAGUGACGCGGGCCCGUGAGGACAGGUGAGACUGCACGACGUAUGACUGUGCCAUAUGACUGACCCGCGAGAGCUCCUAUGCACUAUUACGAAGAUGUCAACAAAAGACUCGCUACAGGGACCCGUAUGACGAACGAACAAGACAAUACACCAUGUUGGGAGUACGGUUGCGCACGACCCUAUGGACGACGUUAGAAGGGCUACGCCAUCCAGGAGCGACGAACAUGCCCUUGCUAGCAGAAUACAAGUCUCCAAUGCAAGGUUCUGUCCUUGAGCUAUAAAAUGGCAGGAUCCCUUCUAUCUACACAUGGUCACACCAAUUGUAACACGCCUCUAAGUAAUCUACGAUCAACACUACACUAGACUAAGGUGUGAGCCUGAACCAGUAUAAUCUCUCUGUCUCAAUCCACGUCUGAGUUCUAGCGAUUCAACAUUCAGAGUGAGUUCACUCUAGCACCCCGCCGAACACAAAUCUUAUUAUCUCCGGUUCCGAAACCACGAUAACGAUAACGAGUAUUAAAUAUAGUUUAAUUAUAAAACUAAUUAUAUAGAUGAAGACUAAACUGCGUGACAAAUUUAUUAAGCCUGAUUAAUUUAUGAUUAGCAAAUGUUUAUCGUAACACCACAUAAACGAAUCAUAGACUAAUUACAUUUAAUAAGUUCGUCUUAUCGUUUAGUUCUCAUAUACGUAAUUAGUUUUUAUAAUGAUACUAUAUUUAAUACUUUUAACUAAUAUCUAAAUAUUUGAUAUGACAGAGACUAAAAUUUAGUCAAUUUAACCAAACCAAAACAUUAAAAGGGGUUCAUUCACAUUUUGUCGAGAAACGAACGAGAAUAGUGGUGUUUUAUUAUUAGCGUUUCUCUACAUUAGUAACACACAACUUUUUAUAUUUUUUGGCGCGCCCUUACUUAUGAGCAUUUAUUUAGAAUUAUAUAAUCUAACAAAUUUUGAACUAAUUUGAGAUUAUAAUCAGGAUAAAUUAUAUAAUCUAACAAAUUUUAAAUUAAGAGUAUUUUGUUAGAUUAUAUAAUCUGUUCAGAUUAUAAUGCAAACAAACACCUACUAUACAUAGCAGCAUAGAAGUGGUCAAGUUUUGUGGACCGCUGAGAAACCCAACCAAACUCUAUUUUUUGAAUGGUCAAAAUGGCGUUCUUCUCCGUUGCACACUAUCUCUACGGGCAACCAGACAAAUCUUCGGGUCUCCCAUGUUAUUUAAGGUCACCAUAGGCCCUGCUGCGAAACCAGGAUAGUUUGGCUACCCUCGUCGUCGUCUCACUCACCCCGCCUUCACGCCUCCCUCACCAAAUAAGGUCCCGCCCUUUUCCGACAUUCACAGGGGGGACAGGAAAUCAGCGGCCAUGGCCUCGAUUCCGGCGACGACCUUCGCCGUCAUCUUAUCCGUCCUCUUCUGUGCCGCGGCUGGCACCGCCGUCGACAACGACCUCCCCGACUACGUCAUCCAGGGCCGCGUCUAUUGCGACACCUGCCGCGCCGGGUUCGUGACCAAUGUCACCGAGUACAUCGCGGGCGCCAAGGUGAGGCUGGAGUGCAAGCACUUCGGCACCGGCAAGCUCGAGCGCUCCAUCGACGGGGUGACCGACGGGAACGGCACGUACACGAUCGAGCUCAAGGACAGCCACGAGGAGGACAUCUGCGAGGUGGUCUUGGUGGAGAGCCCGCGCAAGGACUGCGACCAGGUGCAGGCGGACAGGGACCGCGCCGGCGUCCUGCUCACCAGGAACGUCGGCAUCAGCGACAACCUGCGCCCCGCCAACCCGCUCGGCUACCUCAAGGACGUGCCGCUGCCCAUCUGCGCCUCGCUGCUCAAACAGUUGGACUCGGACGACGACGACGAUCAGUAAUAGCACAUCGACGACGACGAUCGAUAUGUAAUAGCACGUCGUCGACGACCGACCGCAGUCGUCGCAGACUGGCUGGCACUAAACCACAAAUCCUCUUCACCUGGAUUACAAAUAUGUAACUGAGAAAGGAAAGGAAAACAAAAAUGUAACUGCGUGGCUGUACCAAAUUCUGAGUGCUGGAUUCUUGCUAUUGUCACCCAUUGUUCGUUUUAUCAUACAAGUUGCAGCGCAGCGCAAGACGGCUAAGGCCUUGUUCGUUUGUGUCGGAUUGCAUCCGGAAUCGUUCCACCUAAUCAAAGUUUAUAUAAAUUAGAGAAGCAAUCCGGUUCGAAAUCAUUCCG
rnacentral:lncRNA from 1 species